AAUAAAAAAAAAAAAAAAUAGUACAAGGGCAUUUUUAAGGGCAUUGAGUGAAGUUCAGUUUUUUAAGGGAUUGAUAUGUAGGUAGAUAAUUUUGCAGGGCUAUAGAUAGAUAUGGUAUAUGCAUAAUGUAUCGGUGCACAAAUGAUUAUCCUGUUAGUUAUUUACUUGAUUCUGUCUUGUGUAUCUUAUUCUUUCGAUAUUUAUAUUGCUGCACUAAACUAUAUUUUUAACAAGUAUUGACACAAGUUUGACAAUAUUUAAUAACAAUUAGGAAAAGAAGUCGAACGAGGAGUAGAAGCAGAAGCAGAAGCAGAAGCAGGAGCAGAAGCCCUUAUGGUCAAAAGCAUGGUAUUGAAAGGAGAGGGGACAGAGGUAGAACAGUUGGAGUGUUGGUUCAACCUUGCAGAGAUUUUUCUUCUGGGCGAUGCAGGAGAGGAAAUCAAUGCAGAUUCCUUCAUGAGGACAGUGAUCGGAGACACUUUGACAGGCCUUACCAAACAGAUUUGCGGGAAGGUCGAUCUGAAAGGGCAAAAUACCAUCGUAACGAGAUUGAGAAUGAUUUUUCUGAUUCACGAGAACACAAUUAUCAUUCACGGAAUAAGCCAUCUCAGAGGCAAGGAGGGGGCCAUUUUGAUGAAGGUGGUAGUUGGGAAAAGCUUGAUCCACGUAGAAAUAACAACAAAUCAACUGAAAGAUGUUAUGAUUUUUCGAAGGGAAGAUGCCAAAGAGGCGCAAAUUGCAGAUUCAUUCAUCAUGAAGCUUCUUCCCACAGUGGGUAUAGUAUUAAAGAUGAGGCUAGGGAGCCUAGGGAAAGGGAAAGAGAAAGGGAAAGGGAAAGGGAAAGAGAAAGAUCCCAUUAUAAUAGUAGAAAUAAUAGUAGUGAGGUAUCUUUUGGCAGAAGUACUGAGACAAAAAGGGUAAAUGAUGAGCCCUGUAAGUUUUUUGCUGAAGGGCGUUGUCACCGCGGUGAGCGCUGCAGGUUCUCGCAUCAAAAUAAUAUGGAAGUUGGGACAAAUGAUGAUAAGUGGAACACCAAUCAUGAUGAUUUAUCAAGAAAUGACUCGAGUUGGGGUGAUCGAACUGCAAUUGUUGACGCAACCAACUCUCCUCAAAAUGCUCCUCCAGUCUCUCGUGAGAUGAAAAUAACUGUAGAGGCAUCUGGAUUCAAGGAUGGAAGCGGACCCGCGCUUGCAGGACCAAACUUGGGCCAUCCAUCCCAGAACCAAUUUAUCAAUCCCGGGGUUCCUAAUGUGCAAAAUUUUUCUCAAAGUGUCCCUGCGAUGCCUUUUAAUGGUCAAAUGCAACAAGUGGCCUUUCCAAUGCACCCAGUUGGGCAGAGUCAUUUCAUAGCUCAACAAGCCCCUCCUCAUAUAGGACUCAACCAACAGGGGAUUAAUCUUGGCGGGCAGAUUUCACAGAGUCGUUCUCAAUUGCUUCAAAGUAAUGGUCAAGGCCAACAGGAAAAACUCUUUGGUGGGCAAGGUCUACAUAAUCUUUCUAUUCAAAAUGUAAAAAUUCAACAGACUCUUUCUUCUGUGGAGGGACAAAGCCAAGAGAAAGUCAUUGUUCCUAUGCCUCAAAAUAGAGAAGGAAUACAGAAUGUCCAAGUAGGGAAAAACCAGUUUGAAACCCCUCAUACUACUUCGAGUUUAGAAAUCAAACUGUUGGAGCCAGGCUCUGGAACUUCGAUCGCCCCUAAAGUAGUGACGAGCGAGCAGGCUGCUCGAAUUACCGACCUUUCGGCUUCUUUGGCGCAGUUCUUUGGAAGUGCUGCUUUAAAUGCCAGUCCAAUGGGACUUGUGAUGCCUUUGAAUCCUACUGUACCCUCAUCUGUUUCUACUGAACAAAAAAAUCCCUUGAUGGAGGAACUGAAUAGAAAUUCAGCGAACUUAGUUCCUUUGACUAUUGCUGAUGGUAAAAGGGAUUCCAAGUCAGAAGACCACGAAAUUGUUGAAACCAAGCAAGUUGAGACUAACGCUCCUUCGAAGGAAGUCCAUGAAAAGGAGUUAGUCCAAGGUAAAGAAGAAGAACAGAAUGGUGUUCCUGAAGAAGCAAAUGCGGAUGUUGUGGCGGAUGGCGAGAAUAAGAAGAGCAAGGAUUCUAAAGCACUGAAAAUGUUUAAGUGUGCGCUUGUCGAGUUUGUUAAGGAUGUACUGAAGCCCUCUUGGAAGGAAGGUCAUUUGAGCAAAGAAGCUCAUAAAACUAUAGUGAAGAAGGUGGUUGAGAAAGUGACUGGUGCUAUUCAAGGUCCUAACAUCCCUCAAACCCAGGAGAAAAUUGAUCUCUAUCUAUCAAACUCUAAGGCGAAACUCAACAAGCUUGUACAGGUGAGUUAGGAACUUAAUCGUCUGCUUUCAUUUCUUUGUAUCUUCUCUGAAGUUUGGUAAAAAAAUUAUUGUUUGCUUCAUCUGCAAUACUUCUUUGUCCUGAUGCAGGCGUAUGUAGAGAAAUAUGUGAAGAGCUGAGCCUGCUCUGUGCAAAGCCAAGCUAUUUGUCUGUCAUCGUCCCGUCGAAAAGCUCCAUCUCUACUUCCAAUGAUGAAGUUUUUUUGUAAAUUUUGGAGGCUUUGCUAAUUGACUAGAGAAUGUUUUCUUCUUUCGGCUUCGGUACUUCUAUUUGAUACUAGACGGGUGUUUUCCGUGAUCUUUCCGAUGCAUUGAAGAAUUAUAAACUCAAACUUAUCUUUACUUGUGUCAGUCGGUGGCAAUGUGUAGAAAUGAUGCCCAAAAGUUUCUAUGCUCCUCUGUUGUGUCCUUUUGAAUAUUCAUUUACCUUGGCUUAUUUCACCAAUCAUGCAACCCUGCAACUGCGAGAGUUAAACUGAAGAUUGAGCUCUACAAAUUGUUGAUAGAUUACGCUCAUUUGUUACUGAGAAAUGCUCCGUAUGUAAAAUGGUUGGGGAUUUUGAUAGGCGAAAAAAAGGGUUGUAGCCUUGUAGGGCUCAUCUGCACUUGCGAAUUACACCCACCUUUGCAUCAUUGUAACCAUUCUCCACCAUGUAGAAUUUUGUCGUCAUUGCAUCUGGAACUAAAAGAGUAUAAUUUAAAUUUUAACUUCUAAAUAAAACAACUACUAAAGUUUCUCGCUUCAAAAUUAAGGCAUUGUGCCACUAAACAUGAAUAGUAUUGCUCAAAACAUGAUUUUUCUUUAAUCAAAUAAACUACAUCCUUGCAUGUAGUGACCCAACUACUCUGCUUUCAAUACAAAACUCAGUUGACUAAGCAAGGUUCCCAAUGGAUGCUAAAAGUUCGCCCACAGGAACACCAACAUACGUCCCACAAGAAAAGAAAAGCCCUAUAAAGGUAACCGCGACCCGCUUAUUUCUAAAUCAUCUCUACACUUGCGACAGCGCCGACAAAUGAGAUGGCGGAGACUCUGUCUCCACAUAGAGUCAUGAAUCACACAGCACCGAGCUCAGAUUCUCCUUUUGCCCCUCCACAGUAUUAUCUGACCGUCUUUGAACAAGAGAGGAAUGCAAGGCACCAAAUCCUGCAGUGAAAUCAACCUAAGCGUUAAAAGAGACUUCAAAAGUUUCUUGUACGUGGAGAUGCAGCGGCAUAUAGUAGGAAGUACAAAUAUACACUUUUCCUAUAAUUUCUGGGAACAGCAAAGAGCAUCGAUAAUUUCUGAGAUGCUACACUUAAAGCACCGAAGCCACCACUUAUUGUGUAUGAAGAAGAACACUGCAACAAAUACGAGGGCAUAGAAUACGUACUCUUAGCUUCACUCCAAUCUUCUUGCAAUCACUCGCAUAGACAUGAGCACAGUCUAGUCUCACCACCUCCGAAGUUUUGAAGGCAUCUCUAACUUUAUCCACCACAUUCACAUACACACCAUUCCUGGCUGCACGAGUAUAGCAGUCAAAUUGUUUGCCCUAGAAAAUAUCGAAGUAAAUUCGUUCAAGCAACACUCUUUAACUUUCCUACAAUAGAUUUUUUGAACCGACUUACUUAGUUUCAUCAGCGGCGGGGAAUUCAACCCACUGUUCCUCAACUCCUUCGUUUCCUCGAAACUGAGACCUUCAGCAACAUUUGGUACGAGCCUUGGAUAAAUAGGUGCGAGCGGUUUCCACAGCAUCAAUGGUACGACCGGCCUUUGCUUUGGAUCAUAGUACCGACCGCGAUAUAGAAGGAGAAUGUUGAUUCGCCUGUAGAUGAUUUUCCCUCCAGUUUUAUCCUGUGGGUCGAACUAAUAUUUUUAAGAGCAGUACCUACAAUAAUACGAUAGAGAACAAAUUUACCGCGUGUUUAAUGCAAAAUAGUGUAGCAUCACAAUUCACAACCUCAAGAUGAAAGCAAACGUUGUCCAUGUCGAGAGUCGGCACCCCCAAACAUUUGAUUCUCACAGCUUCAGCUCUCUUCCAAUGGUUGUGGAUGUCGUCAAGCAUAUUAUGCGUCACGCCAUCCUUUCCUAAGCAACAUCAAAUGUCACCUAUUUGUGUUAGAUGUUUAAAACAAAAGUUUGCGAUGAGCAGGUAGAAGGUAAAAACACAAAAGACACUACAACAAACUACAACGCAUUUUGAAAUGUGUACCUCAGAUUCAAAAAAUUUUGAUUUCGACACCCGACCUUUGAUUACUUUGGAUUUUGGAAUCUCUUUGUCAAGUUCUGUGAGAACUUAGAUAAAUAACAGAAUAUUAUAUUAGGGUACGGAAUUUUCCACUAAUAGUUUGUAAAUAUCAUUAAAAUUCCGAUAAAAGGCAAAACUUUAACAAGAAAAAAUGGCAUGAUUGUAUCAACCCAAGCAAGUGUAGUUUCGAGAAAAAAAGAAUGUUUAAUUUGAAUAGAUAAAAACUCAUAUGGCCUCGUAAAUGUGCAUAAAAAAUUUGAUUUUGAGAUCAAAAGGAGAAGGGUUGAGACCUAAAUUGAUCUGCCGGGAACAGUCGCUGUGUCGAUACCGCUCGAUCAGCUCCUCGAUCUCUUCCUCCGUGAGCGGCUCGCCAAGCACCGAGCUCCUCCGAUCGGCGGAUCCCACCACCGGCGCCGGCUCCGGCGCCGGCGCGACCACGCCGUCCCAUUUCCGGUCGAGGCGCCCGGGGCCGAAGGGGGAGAAGCGCGGGGGCUCGCGGAACCCGAUGGGCCGCACCGAGGGGUCGGACUCGGAGUAGGAGUAGCGGAAGUCGAAGGGGAGGUCGGAGUGGAAGGGGGCAGAGGGUUUGAUCUGAUUGGGGCUUAGGGUUUUGGGGAGGGAGUUGGUGGGUUUUGCCGGUGGGGAUUUGGGGGAGAUGGGGGAGAAGGGGGGGUCGUAGGAAUCGCGUGGAGGAGAAGGGGACUGGGAUUUAGAGCGAGUUAGGGUUAGGGUUAGGGUUAGGGUUUGGGGAGCGUGGUGAGGCCAUGGGAGAAGCCUCCGGAGCAUGAAGCGGGGACGAAGCCGAAGUGGAUUGAGAAUAGUCCGAAGUUAUACUCCCGGUUUAGGGAGUAACUUCUCGUCUUAUACGGUUAUACCCAUUGGGACUUUUUUAUAAAACAACCCUCUAAAGUUUUGAAAUUUGUGAAAUAACCCUCUCAAAAUUUUAUUUGGAAAACUAACCCUCUUUUCGCCACGUCGGCACCACGUCAGAAUUUCUUUUAAAGGCGGUGAAUCGUUCACCGUUUUCUCCUAUUUGUUUUAAAGACGGUGAAUCAUUCACCGCCUUUCACUUAUUUAUCCCAUAUAUAAUCCCAACAACCACAUAAAAAUUCUAACAAAUCAUAUAUAAUCUUAACAACCUUUAAAUCCUAAUAAUUUAUCCAUAUAAUUUCAUAUAAUCUUAACAGCCUGAAAAUCCUAAUAAUCUAUCCAUACAAUCCUAAUAAUCAAAUAAAAAUUCUAAUAAUCCACAUAUAAUCCUAACAACCUCACUUUUUUCUAUUUCCUAUAUAAUUCACGCAUAAUUUUAAUGAAUGCGGUGAACGAUUUACCGCCUUUAAAAGAAAUAGGAGAAAGUGGUGAACGAUUCACCGCUUUUAAAAGAAAUGGAUAAUGGGAGAAAACGGCGAACGAUUCACCGUCUUUGUAAGGAAACCCUGACGUGGCACCCACGUGGCGAAAGGAGGGUUAGUUUUACAAAUAAAAUUUUUACAGGGUCAUUUUGCCAAUUUCAAUUUUUUGGAGGGUCAUUUUAUAAAAAAGCCCUACCCAUUGGUUAGGUAAAAUUGCGUACGAACCCCCUCAACUAAGGCUAUUUUGAAUGUGACCCCUCGACUUUUUUUUUUUUUUGACACCCCUCUAAACUUCUAUUUUAUUUCACUCCAAUGGUUUCAGUUAAAGCAAUGCUACCAAUACAUCUCAAAAGGGGAUGUAUGAAUAAUUUUUUUCGCUAAAAAGCGAAUUAAAGACUACUAAAUUUGAAAAAAAAAAUAAUAAAUUUGCUGAAAUCUCCAAUUUAAUUGCCUAAGAUCAUCCAAUUCCAAAACAUCAAAAAGUUAAGGAGUACGUCAACAGACUAAAAAUAAAGUCGAGGGUGCCAUUUCAAAGUUCUCCUAUUGUUAAGGGGGUCUCCAGACACUUUUACCUAUAAAAGAUGUACCACAAAAAAAAAAAACAUUCUCAAAUUCUCAUGGUAGAUUUUUGAAUGAAAACGAAUAACUACAAUGAAAUCAAAUACAUACAUUGAGUAACUAUCUACAUACAUUGAGCAACUUUCGUCACUGAAAAGGCGAUUGCGCAGCAACACAAUUUACACAACAUUAGUACACAUAGUGAGCUAUUUAAAGUAUAGCUCGAGAAGCUUUUUCAAUGUGUCGAAGAUGCUCGUAAACGGAUUAAGUGCGAUCGGUGCCUUUAAUUCCAAAUCGGGAAACUGGUUUGUGAGAGCUGCGUUCAUCCCGGGCAUCGACAUCAUCAGAGCUAGCUGGCUAGAGGACAUGACCUCACAAUCUUGCGGAGUGUCUUUGAUUUCACUAGGGUCAUAUCCUAACAUUGCCAAAUACGAUUUGUACUUCUCGAUAAAUUCUGGACCUGGAUUGGGAGUUCUUGAAUAAAUCUGAUUUCCAGAAUUUCAAGUGUAAGCAUCAAUUCCAGGGAGAUUAUAUAGCACACGAACUAACUAGGCAUCACAAGGUACAAAAAGUUUAAAUUGUAUGCAAAAUAGAAAUAAUGUGAUAAAAUUACAUGCUUAACAUAACUAUUACCGAUUUCAGUUCUCCAGCGAACCACACCAUACGAUUUCUAACCAAAACACUAUGAAACUAUCAAAAAGGCUGAACAAUUCUGAGUUUUGCUGUACCUUGAAUUCCUGAAGUUCAUAGCUAUGUUUUUCUUAAUAAAACACGUGUGUGUGCGCACAGACACAAAACUAAAAUUUGGGGCUUCAACUCGGUUUUUAGGCUCUUUUCUUUUUCUUUUUCUUUUUUUUUCUUUUCUUUUUUUUUGCCACGCUCAAUGUGUCAUUGAAUCCGCUGACAUUUUCAUGCGUAAAAUUAAGCUGAAAGUUUCGACCGCAUUACUAUUACCUAUCAAAUUCCAAUGUAGGAAUCUACUGAAGAACUUUGCAAUUUGUUUUACACAUAAAAUUCAGAAUAAUAGGCACAGAAGUAUUAUUGCUGACAAAUAUGAAAAGCGACUCAAAUGCAGUAAUAGUAUUACUUACCUGAAUGAAGCUCUUAUCUUUAGCCCCAGAAACAAGCGCGAAGUUGUCAUAAUCAGUCGCAAUCACAUCAUAGGGUUCCUUAGGUAUAAACGGUAGUGUUGGGAAACGAAGGUAACAUUUUCCCUCAAUCGUUUCCAGCCGCUCCAUAGCAGUUACAGUUUUCUCCAUAUCCUCCUCAGAAAGGCACUGAACCCUUCCCCUUAUACCAGUAAUAUAUCCGUUAGGGCCACCAUGGACACAAAAUGUAUCCACCUGGAUAGCUGGGAUCUUCGCAUCAAAUGUAUAGACUCCCUGAAAUCUCACACAAAAGUUUCCUAAAUUAGCAUAAUUUUACUGCUGUAAAAUGAAAAAGGGGCUUUUACAUGUAUCCCUCCAAUAAGCUCUGACUUUUACUACGUAAACAUCGUAAGUAGAGUCUCUUGCGAUAAUACCAUUAAGUUGCAGAGUCAUCCAAUUCAUGCAGGGAUGUUGGUUUUGUAUUAGAAAGAGUUUUUUUAAGGAGAGGCAUUUUGUAGUUACAGUAAAUUCAUCAUAACGAUGCCUUAAGCCAUAUGUUUACCUGCGUACAAUGGCAGUCUUCUUGCCCUUGGCCGGCAAAUCCGCGUUUCAGUGAAGCUACUUCAAACCAUCUUCCUGAAUAUCUGAUGGGAUCGAAAUUCUUAGCUGUCAUACCCCUCAUCAUAAGCAUCCUACUUCCAUCUUCCAACAUGGUAUCCACUUUUAGAGUAGAACCAUUGUCUGCGGCAGCUGCAAUCUGGCAUAAGCUCCGGUGGCCAGAGGGUUCCGCAGCGAAAGCCUGAUCUUUUAACCGUAAUAAGUCUUUAAUCUUGUAACAAAAGUAAACUUUUCAUUUAAUCUUUUGAAAUUUAGUUUCUUCGAAAUUUAACGGGGAAAGAAUAACUCUGUAAUUCUGGUUGUGUGCUUAAAUGCCAGUAUUCUUUACGGUGAUAACUAUGAGUUCCGACAUUACAUUGUACACAACUCUUCUUACUGUUUUAGUUCUUCCGCGGCCCUUUAAUAAAAAUUCGACAUUCUUAAAUAUACCAAAAUAGCAACACAUAUCAUUACCAGGUUUGGUGGAGAGACGAGCAUUAUUGAAGCAGCAAAACAGGAGAGCAGUCGUCUAGAUAUAGAAUCACCACAAGAUGUUGUCUCCCUCGAAGAGCAUUUAAUAUUUUUUUCUCCUGGAAAGGAACAUUUCCUCCUAAAGAGACAAAAGCGAAAAAAAAAAGAGGUUAUAUGAGCAGCCAAGGAUAAUAAGGCUACAGAUAAAUACGCUAAAAGGCAUUGAACUUUUAACUGGAAUACAAUAAAACAGAUAACUUUUUGUUCAUGAUUUUCAUUGAAGAGUGUCUCCUAAAUAAUAUGCAUAUGUAGUUGGUUGAAAACUUUCAAUCCUAUUUGUGGACCGUUUCCUACCAAAUCAAUCUCGCCGAUAUCAUGGUGUCAAAGCCGUUCCUAAGCCCUCUCAGUUCGGAUGGCAUAGUUCGACUUUUCUCAACCAUCCAUCCACAAGAGCGGAGAAUGCUAAGAUUACUUCUAGACAGUUUCAUAUCUGAUCGAUCUUUUGGGUAAUCACCAUAUCCCAUUAAUCUCCAUAAUACAACAUAAUUACCUCUUGCAACAGAUUAAAAGUAUCCACAUUGACAAUUUGUCAAACACCUUCAUGGCAUAUGAAGAAUACAAGGGAAUCCAUCCUACACUACUCAAAUUAAGUAGAAAAAUCCCACCUUUUUAGACCACAAACAUACCGACCAAUCAAAUUUGAAUAAACCCAUUUGUUAAAGUUAGAAAAUUAACUGUAAAUUACAACCACAAUUCCUAGAGAACAAACCAACCAGCCAACCUAAAAGAGACGGAGAAUUAUAACAAUGUUACUUAGAAUAAUAUUAAGUCGAAAUUACUUAACAAUUUUUUUUUUUUUUUAAGAUUCACUAAAAAAGCAUUGAUUUUGAAGGGAAAUUUGGGAAAUACCGGAAAGAGGGAGGUGGAGAUGGGGGUGGGAUUCGAAGUAGAGCAAAAGCCAUGGCCACUCGAAGAGUGGAGAACCAAUCCGGGAAAUGUGAUUGGUGGAGAAAGAUAAGGGAAUAUUAUUAUGUGGACGAGGUUCACCACGUCAUCUGUGGACCGAGAAAGCUACGUCCCUUACCUCUCACCUUUCUUUGAAAUCUCCACCGUCCAUUUAGUUUUAGUGUUUUUAAAUAUUUUUUUGUAAAUAUUGCGGUGAGGAUUUCAACAAGGGAUUAAAUGGACGGUCGAUGGCUAUGCCGUUCAUAGAUGACGUGGUGGACGGAGUUCGAGAAUAGAUUCUGUGCUAAGCAUUCACUAAUUAUCUGCCACGUGGAGUUUCUUUUUUCUUUUUUUUUAUGGGUAAAACUAUUUGUUGGUAAACUCUUUUCCAUUUUUAAAAACAUGAUAUAUUAACUUUAAAUUAAUGGAAAUCACCCCAAAUCCCAAUGUCUAUGAAAUGGAGUAUUGCACACACACACACAUAAAAAAAUAUAUAUAUAUAUAUAUAUAUAUAUAUAUAUAUAUAUAUAUUGAGGUUUUAUUUUUAAUUUUUUUGGCUUUUGGUCUUCUAGCAAUAAAGUAAUUUCAACCGUUACAUAGGAUCAUUAUUAAUUCAACCGUUACUAUUAAAUUAAAGAAAUUUAAAUCACCAAAUAAUUAUGGGGGACAUUCCAAAAGCUUCUACAAUGUUUUAAAACCUUUCAUUAUGAAAGGUCUAUAAAUUAAUCUCUCUUGUUGUUGUGUAUUUCAUUUCAUUUCAUAUAUAUGCAUUUUUUUUUUUUUUACUAUAAACUUAAUUAUUAUUACUACUCUCCAAUGGCUUCUACCCAUGUUAUUUUUCUCUCCUUCCUCCACUUUCUAUUGCUUCUCUCCUACCUCAAUCAUGGUACCAUUUUUUGUAAUUAGCUCAAACAUUUGAAACUUAAACUAUUUCUGCAUAAAAGUUCUUACUUUAGUUUCCUUUAUAAAUUUAGAAAUUGAUUUCAUAUUUCUUCCUGGUUUUGACCAAGUUUACAUUUUGUUGGUUGCACUUUUUUUUUUUGACUUCAGGUGAAUGCAGUGGGCUAACUAGUUGCCAGGUGCAUAGAUAGUAAAUUUAAUUUGGUUGGAAAAUAUUUUUACUUUCUUAAUAUUUUUACCAAGUUUUUGAGAAAUUUUAAUCUAUGUGACACCUUUGAAUUCUCCCUAGAAAACAUGGUGUGUAGCAAAGGCUUCAGCUGAGGAUAGAGAUCUGGACGACAUAAUCCGGUUCGCGUGCAGUGAAACCAACUGCGACCCGAUCCAAGCCGAUGGACCGUGUUUCGACCCGAACACCCGAAUUUCACACGCUUCAGUGGCCAUGAAUCUCUACUACCAAUCUAGAGGAAGGAACCUUUGGAACUGCUACUUCAAUGGUUCUGGGCUUAUUGUACUCACUGACCCAAGUUAGUACUAUCCUAUGCAUGUUUGUGUUGUUAAUUUUGUAAGUUUUUAUGUUUUUAAUUCCCUUUGGUUAAUGGCUAAUUAAUCAUGGUUAUUUUUGGGUUUUUUUUCCUAUCUUUUUUGAAGGUUAUGGAAGCUGCAAGUAUGCUUAAGGAGCUGUGGAUUCUCCUAGAUGAGCAAGAACUUGAGUUUAAUCUCAUAUAUAUUAGCCUACUUGUUUAGUUUUUGUAUUUCCUUUGUCUUUAGUUUCAUGGAUGUAAUUGUUGUUCGGUACAUUUUGUUGCGCGGAACUAUGGAAACAAAAUAUUUUCUUUUUACUUGUUGUUUUCACAUUACAUGAAUUUGUGUUGGUACUUUUUUUUUUUUUUUGGUCGAAGAUAUCUGUAGGCCGCACGCAACACAUCAGUCCACUCUAGAAAGAAUCAUACCAAUUUAUAUAUUGUAUUAACUUAGGAUUUUUCUUAAUAAUUCCAUGGCGUGUUUGAACCGUGAUUAUCGUGUUGCGCCCAAAAUUGCAUAUCCAAUUUUCAGAAAAUUUAUAAAUUGUGUGAACUAUGUAGAAUCUCCUUUUGACUUGACUUAUUAGACUUGUGAGUACUGUAAGUAAGCACGUGGGUGAGCAACUAAUGCUUUCAAUGUGGGUCCUUUUUAAUUUACUACAUCCAUCCAUCCAUCCAUGGGCCAUGGGGAAAGGGCUAGCCCAUCUUCUUCUGCACACAGUUCACACAUUUUCUCACACAAAUAAGCUCAGGUAUUUAACCACAGAAUCAUGGAGCUCAUAAGCUAACAAUCAUCAUCCUCGUUAUCAAUAUUCAUGUGUUUAACCUCUUCUUCUUCAUUGGGCUUCUUUCUAAAUCUCAGAACCAGUUAAUAAUGCACAGCUGUUUCUGUGUGUUAAGGUUCUCAGUAAAGGCCCUUUCACAUUUUCAUCUAAAAAGUUGCAACCUUUUUCCCAGAAAAAGUUAAAGGGAAGAGGAAAAAGUUAAUUUUUUGUGCUUGACUUUUCAGGUUUUAAGCUUCCUCUUGCUUUUUCUCCAUCACUUCUUCUCUACAUUCGUCUUGCACUAAGUUUAUCUUGUUUCUUUUUAUCAUCCUGAUCAGGAUUUCGAUUGAAGGUUAGUGUUUUCCUUAAAAGGCAAAAAAAAAGGUCCAAUUUUUGAGCGUGAUUGAGCCUGUGUUUGGUGUUUUUCUCUUGAUUACGAAGUCAAGCUGAAGUUACAAUUUUUCUGGUAGAUGUCGAAAGAAGCUUCUGAUCUGAGAUGAGUUUCUUAAAAAGUGAAGAAAUUGGCUUGCCCUAAGCUCAAAAGGGGUUUGAUGAUGGCCUAUGUGAAGAUUAUUAGUGUUCUUAGUUUCCUGCUUUUGGGCUUUAAUGGUCUCAGCCAUUCUGAAAGGCCUUCUGUUGUUAACAUUGGUGCUGUUCUAACUUAUGAUUCUCUCAUCGGCGGAGUCGCAAAGGCCGCGAUCGAGGCUGCAGUCGCCGAUAUCAAUGCAGAUGAGACUGUUCUUCGCGGAACCCGGCUGAAUCUUAUAAUGCAGGACUCUAAUUGUAGUGCUUUUAUUGGAUCCAUUGCAGGUAAAUCCAUCUGAGUCUUUUUCUUUCUGUGUUUGACGAGAAUUUAUAGUUGUCUAUAUGUGUCAAGUUGGAUUACUCUUUCAGUUUAGUAUCUUUACGGCUUCGUAAACAGAUUGUAGUAUGCUGAUUAACAAAUGUACUAGUUGAAGUGGUUUAGCAAAUUUUGUAGUAUAUCUAGUUCCCGUGUUUUGCAUCGUGUUUUCAGACGCUGUUGCUGCAUCAUAACAAUGUUUGCUGUUUCCAGCACUUAGAGUUCUCGAGGAGGAGGCAAUAGCCAUUAUCGGGCCGCAAUCCUCAACAAUAGCUCACAUGAUAUCAUCUCUCUCUAAUGGCCUCCAAAUACCACUUGUAUCCUUCUCAGCUACCGAUCCGACCCUCUCCUCUCUCCAGUUUCCGUUCUUCGUCCGCAUGACACCUAGUGAUUCUUAUCAGAUGGCCGCUAUGGCCAAUUUAAUUGAUUAUUAUGGGUGGAGACAAGUAAUUGCGAUUUUUUACAGACGAUGAGUAUGGCAGAAAUGGAAUAAAUUCUCUAGAUGACGAGCUCGCAGAAAGAUUGUCAAAGGUCCACAAGAUUGCUUUACCAGCAAGUGCUUCGGAAGAUAAAAUCUUGGAUUUGCUGAAAAAAUCAAUAAUAAUUGGACCAAGAGUUUAUGUUGCACAUGUUAAUCCAGAUUCCGGUCUUAAGAUCUUCUCCAUUGCCCAAAAUCUUGGAAUGAUGAGCGAUGAGUAUGUUUGGCUCGCAACAGAUUGGCUUUCUACGGCUUUAGAAACAUCCAAAACUGUUAAUUUUGAUUUAUUGAGUGACCUUCGAGGAGUAGUUGGUUUUCGCCCGCAUAUCCCAAACUCGAAAGUGAGAAGUGCUUUUAUAUCAAGAUGGAGAGAUUUGCAGCGAAAGGGGGGAAUUAGUGCUGAACUAAACGCUUAUGGCUUUUACGCGUAUGAUUCAGUUUGGGCCGUUGCUCAUGCGGUUGAUGAAUUUCUCAAUGAGUUUGGAAAUAUAACAUUUUCUUCGAACAACGCGCUAAGUUCUGCAAAAGGAAAGAUGCAACUUGACAAGCUCCGAACGUUCGAUGGCGGGAACCUGCUGCUUAAGAAAUUACUGCUGUUGAAUUUCAGCGGCUUAUCUGGCCCAGUCAAAUUCGAUAGCAAUAAGAAUCUCGUAGGCAGUACAUAUGAAAUUAUAAACAUAAACAGCGCACAGAUCCAAACAAUUGGAUACUGGUCUAAUUAUACAGGCUUGUCUAUUUCUUUGCCUGAUACUAUGCACGGGAACAAUAAGAGGGAUCUAAGAAUGAGUAAGAGACUUGGAAAUACUACUUGGCCUAGUGGAAAGACAGAAACGCCGCGUGGUUGGGUCGUCGCAGAUAGUGAAAGGCCACUACGGAUUGGAGUUCCUUAUAGAGCCAGCUAUACUGAGUUUGUAGGAGUAGAAAAAGAAAAUCACACAGUUAAUGGAUAUUGCAUUGAGGUAUUUAAUGCUGCAACUCGAUUGAUUCCGUAUGAUGUCUCGCAUCAGUUUGUGCCAGUUGGUGAUGGACGGUCGAACCCAAACUAUGAUGAGCUUGUGAGAAUGGUUGUUGAAGAUGUAAGUACAAAAUUCUAUCACCUCAGUUUUGGACUUUGUUGCUUUUAUGAUUUUCUGGGGGUAAAUUAUGCAACUGGCGACUGAACUUAUGGCAAAAUUUCACUCGGUUUACUAAAACUUAGUUUGUUGCAGUUGAUGUGCCGAACUUCUAUUUCUGUUUUGAUUAGAUCGCAAUGGUAAACUCUGUUUAAUUCCCUCAAUUGAAGAUGAUGUGGAAGGUAAAUUAGCUUCGACUUAGUCUCCGACUUAAGGAAAUUAAGCAGAGUUUGACUGAGGGAUCUGGUUGAGGUAGGAUUUUCGGUCAUCAACUGCCCAAUUUUUUCAUCAGUAAGAUAAUAAAGAUGAAAGAAAUUUCAGGUCAUUGAUGCAGCUGUCGGGGAUGUUGCAAUCGUCACAAACCGGACCAAAAUUGCUGACUUCACCCAGCCUUAUAUCUCUACGGGCCUAGUCAUAGUGGCUCCAUUGAAAAGUAUAAAAUCGAAUGCUUGGGCUUUCCUCAGGCCUUUCACGAUUAGGAUGUGGUGCGUGACUUUUGCAUUUUUCUUCAUGAUUGGGAUGGUUAUUUGGCUGCUCGAGCAUCGGGUGAAUAGCGAUUUUCGGGGCCCACCCAAGAGGCAGUGCAUCACCAUGCUCUUGUAAGAUAUUUACAGUACUAGACUCAUGCAUGUUAUUAUGGAAGCUUCAGUAUGUCUAUCUUAUUUUAAUUCUACUUUCGUUAAGCUUUACUGGCAGUUAUUGAUGUUAGCUGCGCUGUCGUACUGCCUAUACUUUGGUAAAUUGGGAGUCUAGUUGUAUUCAUUUUUUUUCUUUUAAAUGUUCCAUUAUAGUUACGAAAAAAAAAAGAACUGCAACUGCAAUUAGCACCUUGUCUUGUAGUUUGUGAAGAUUUGUGCUAAAAAGAUUUAUUAUGUUUUUUUAAAAGAAUUUAAGCAUCUAAUAUGUCUAUAUUUUCCUUAACAGGUUUAGCUUCUCGACGCUCUUCCACUCACAGCGUAAGUGAAUUUACUCAAAUCAUUCUCAACAACUAAUAAUAGUCCAGUAGAAUCAUUAUGCAGAUAACUGACGAGAUUAUGCACAAUAACAUUACGUUGUUUUGUUUUUGUUUCAGAAGAAGAUACUUUGAGCACGCUUGGCCGAUUCGUCAUGACGACAUGGCUAUUUCUCCUUAUGGUUAUCACAUCGAGCUAUACAGCAAGCUUAACAUCAUUUUUCACCGUUCAACAGUUGUCGUCUCCAAUGAAAGGAAUUGAUAGUCUAAUAGCAAGUAAUGCGCCUAUUGGUUAUCAAACUGGGUCUUUCGCUCGAAGUUAUCUUAUAGACGGUCUUGGUGUCCAUCCUUCGAGGCUCGUUGCUCUCGGAUCUCCUGAAGCUUAUGAAGAAGCAUUAAAACUCGGGCCUAAAAGUGGCGGUGUAGCGGCAAUUGUCGAUGAGCUUCCGUAUGUCGAAAUAUUUUUGUCGAAGACAAGUGGGUUUGACAUAAUUGGACAGCCAUUCACCAGAAGUGGAUGGGGAUUUGUAAGUUAAUUCUUUUAUUAUAUAUGAAUAUUUGUUGCAUGGUACCCUGCAAAUCACCUAUUUACGUAUACAUCUCGACAAAAUUUGAAUUUCGUAUAUGCCCUUCAAAAACUUGAUUUGUUGUACAUGCAUAAUUUUGCAUACAAAACUACCCCUCUUUAAAAUAGUUUCUCUGUUACAAAAUGAACUCCCUCCAAUGAAUUGGAGUAAGAUGAGGGCGUUUUCAAAGAAACUGGAAUUUGUUCUUAUACAUGAAAAUCCAUAUUUUAUAUUGGUACAUGGAUUAUUACAUUAUCGUUUUCAUUGUCGAUAAUUAAGUACUUUGCACUUUUCGCUAAUAGGCGUUUCGAAGAGAUUCUCCCCUUGCAGUUGACAUGUCGAGAGCAAUCUUAGAACUUUCUGAAAGCGGAGAACUCCACAGAAUUCACAAGAAGUGGUUUUGCAAGACAAACUCAUGUGCUGCGCAGGGAAGCGGGAAUUCUGAGCCAGACCAGCUGCACUUGAGCUGCUUCUGGGGGCUAUUUCUGGUUUGUGGGGCAGCUACUAUUAUUUCUCUCCUCUUUUUUCUUCUACGGUCGAUUCGGCAAUUCAUUCGCUAUCGGAUAAAACAUAGAGAUCCUGCAUCAGAUACUGAGCUAUCAAAGAGGGGCUGUUCUCAAGCCAUUUAUAGCUUCUUCAAUUUCAUUGAUGAGAGAGAAGAAGCCAUAAAAGCCAUUUUCAGGCAGCAGCAGCAGCAGCAGCAGCAGCAGCAGCAGCAGCAGCAAAGCACUUCUCAGCCUCAGAAAAGCUGAUUGUGCUGUUACUAGUUCCACCUUUCUCUGUUUGUAGAACAUAAGAGGAAGUUAAUAUGUAGCUUGUAAUUUACUUCUUGUAACGUAAAUCAUAUAUAUUUUCCGUGAUGGUUAAAGCCAUUUCGCGACUUAUUUAGCAGUGUUAAGGUUGGUAACUGGUGCCAAAUAUGUAAAAAAAAAAUUUCUGUUGCUAGAACUCAUGUGAUUGUGCCAAAAGCUCUAGAAUUUUUCUGUUCAAAAUUUUAGCUUUCCUUCGCUUUAUGAGUUGGGAUUAUCUUUGAUUUGAUCAUUACUUGUCCAUAAGAUAAGACAUGAAUAAGUUGGCAUGGUUUAGGACGCUGUUUGGUUGCAUGUAAAUGAGGCCAAAAAUAAGUUUUUUGCACUAAAAUUGAGAUCUAUACGUCUUUGUCUCCUGCAAAACAGUUUUAUGUAUUUUACAGAGAAACUCUUUUUAUGUAUGUCCUGAAUUCAUAUUAUACUAAAAUAAAUACCAAUAAAUGUCAUUUUUUUGGAAAAAAAAAAUCUCUCUUUUUCAAAUUGUUUUUAAGAGAUUUUACGCAGAAUCAGUAACAAAAAAUUGCCACAAGUCUACUUGACUUUGCUUUCAAAAAGAAGUCAACUGCCACCAGCAAACUACCAUUAACACAAGGGAAAACUUCAAAUAUCACCCAUGUGGUUUCACACAUUCUCACUUUAGUAUUCUGUUGUUCAAAGCGUAUCAAUUUAGUAUUCUCUGGUUUCAUUUUUAUUUCUUUUAUUAUCGAUUUCACUAAUUUUUUUCGUUAAAUUAGUGACAAAGUUAAAACUAAAAGGUAUUAAAGUGAAUAUUCGAUAAAUUUAUGUAGAGUAUCUGAAACUUUUUGUAUACAAUUUAACAAAAUAUUAACGGAGAAGCUCACGAAAAGAUAAAAAUGAAAUCACAGGACAUGAACUUGAUAUACUUUAAACUACAUGGUACUAAAGUGAGAACGUGCGAAACCACAGAGGUGGUAUCUGAAGUUUACCCUUAACAUAAACUACUUAAAAAAAAAAAGACCAUUAACGUAUAAAAAGAGGUCAUCCACCAUUAUAAUAAACUACUUAAAAAAGAAAGACCAUUAACAUAUAAAAAGAAGUCAACUACCAUUAACAUAAACUACUUAAAAAAAAAAAGAAAAGAGCAUUAACAUAUAAAAAGAAGUCAAAUUCGCAUUAAGCUACCAUAAAGAUAGAACUCCACCAAAAAGAAGCCGCAUUUUUCGCACUAAACUACCACAAAAUAGACGACUUGCAAAAUGGGGUCAAAUGAGCACUAAAUUCACACAUCACUAUCACCAUCAUAGAUAUUCCCUUGUCCGAGAUUUUUUUGAAGUAACGAUCAAAAUUUGAGAACAAAUUUCUACGAUUGGAUUUGUCUAUUGUACAUUCGCUCCAAAAUGACACCAUCAUGUUGCAUUUUAAAGAUUGUGUGGGUAGGACGCGAGUUUUAUAUUAUCUCUGAUAUCAUAUUACAUAAAAUUUUUUGAUAUUCUAUUAUUUUAAAAGAAUUAUGGGACUCAACAUAUUUGGAAUAGCAAAUGCUUUUCCUAAAGCCAAACAGAAAAAGAGCGCGCUCUAAAAGUAAAAAAAGUAUUUUACUAUUAAUAGCAUUACAGUCUAAUUCUAUAUAUAUAUAUAUAUAUAUAUGGCUGGGGAUAUUAUACUCUUAUGAGUAUAGACCCUCUUGUACUCAUAAAUUUUUAACCAUUGAUUGAUAGGAUGUGUGGUUAGGAUGAUGGUUAUCCUCAGGUUACUAAAAUGAUAAAGUGCAAAACCAAAGGGUACUAAAGUGAUAAAGUGCGAAACCACUCACAAGGUAUUAACUUGAUACACUUUAAAUCACAGGGUACUAAAGUGAAAAAGUGCAAAACCACAGGAUACUAACUUGAUACACUUUAAACCACNAGUACUGUGCACUUUUCGCUAAUAGGCGUUUCGAAGAGAUUCUCCCCUUGCAGUUGACAUGUCGAGAGCAAUCUUAGAACUUUCCGAAAGCGGAGAACUCCACAGAAUUCACAAGAAGUGGUUUUGCAAGACAAACUCAUGUGCUGCGCAGGGAAGCGGGAAUUCUGAGCCAGACCAGCUGCACUUGAGCUGCUUCUGGGGGCUAUUUCUGGUUUGUGGGGCAGCUACUAUUAUUUCUCUCCUCUUAUUUCUUCUACGGUCGAUUCGGCAAUUCAUUCGCUAUCGGAUAAAACAUAGAGAUCCUGCAUCAGAUACUGAGCUAUCAAAGAGGGGCUGUUCUCAAGCCAUUUAUAGCUUCUUCAAUUUCAUUGAUGAGAGAGAAGAAGCCAUAAAAGCCAUUUUCAGGCAGCAGCAGCAGCAAAGCACUUCUCAGCCUCAGAAAAGCUGAUUGUGCUGUUACUAGUUCCACCUUUCUCUGUUUGUAGAACAUAAGAGGAAGUUAAUAUGUAGCUUGUAAUUUACUUCUUGUAACGUAAAUCAUAUAUAUUUUCCGUGAUGGUUAAAGCCAUUUCGCGACUUAUUUAGCAGUGUUAGGGUUGGUAACUGGUGCCAAAUAUGUCAAAAAAAAAUUUCUGUUGCUAGAACUCAUGUGAUUGUGCCAAAAGCUCUAGAAUUUUUCUGUUCAAAAUUUUAGCUUUCCUUCGCUUUAUGAGUUGGGAUUAUCUUUGAUUUGAUCAUUACUUGUCCAUAAGAUAAGACAUGAAUAAGUUGGCAUGGUUUAGGACGCUGUUUGGUUGCAUGUAAAUGAGGCCAAAAAUAAGUUUUUUGCACUAAAAUUGAGAUCUAUACGUCUUUGUCUCCUGCAAAACAGUUUUAUGUAUUUUACAGAGAAACUCUUUUUAUGUAUGUCCUGAAUUCAUAUUAUACUAAAAUAAAUACCAAUAAAUGACAUUUUUUUGGAAAAAAAAAAUCUCUCUUUUUCAAAUCGUUUUUAAGAGAUUUUACGCAGAAUCAGUAACAAAAAAUUGCCACAAGUCUACUUGACUUUGCUUUCAAAAAGAAGUCAACUGCCCACCAGCAAACUACUACCAUUAACACAAGAGAAAACUUCAAAUAUCACUUUUGUGGUUUCACACGUUCUCACUUUAGUAUUCUGUGGUUCAAAGUGUAUCAAUUUAGUAUUCUCUGGUUUCAUUUUUAUUUCUUUUAUUAUCGAUUCCACUAAUUUUUUUCGUUAAAUUAGUGACAAAGUUAAAACUAAAAGGUAUUAAAGUGAAUAUUCGAUAAAUUUAUGUAGAGUAUCUGAAACUUUUUGUAUACAAUUUAACGUCCUUAACAAAAUAUUAACGGAGAAGCUCACGAAAGAUAAAAAUGAAAUCACAGGACACGAACUUGGUACACUUUAAACUACAUGGUACUAAAUUGAGAACGUGUGAAACCACAGAGGUGGCAUCUGAAGUUUACCCUUAACAUAAACUACUUAAAAAAAAAAGACCAUUAACAUAUAAAAAGAGGUCAUCCACCAUUAUAAUAAACUACUUAAAAAAGAAAGACCAUUAACAUAUGAAAAGAAGUCAACUACCAUUAACAUAAACUACUUAAAAAAAAAAAGAAAAAAAGAGCAUUAACAUAUAAAAAGAAGUCAAAUUCGCACUAAGCUACCAUAAAGAUAGAACUCCACCAAAAGGAAGCCGCAUUUUUCGCACUAAACUACCACAAAAUAGACGACUUGCAAAAUGAGGUCAAAUGAGCACUAAAUUCACACAUCACUAUCACCAUCAUAGAUAUUCCCUUGUCCGAGAUUUUUUUGAAGUAACGAUCAAAAUUUGAGAACAAAUUUCUACGAUUGGAUUUGUCUAUUGUACAUUCGCUCCAAAAUGACACCAUCAUGUUGCAUUUUAAAGAUUGUGUGGGUAGGACGCGAGUUUUAUAUUAUCUCUGAUAUCAUAUUAUCUAAAAUUUUUUGAUAUUCUAUUAUUUUAAAAGAAUGAUCGGACUCACAUAUUUGGAAUAGCAAAUGCUUUUCUAAAAGCCAAACAGAAAAAAAAAGCGUGCUCUAAAAGUAUGUUUGAUUCCAUGUAAAACUAUGAAAAAUAAGUUUUAGUAGAAAAAUAUUUUUUAUGGUAAAUUUUUUUUUACACUUUUUAAUGUUUGAUUUGUAGAAAAAGAAAGAUAAAUUUUCAACCAUACUUAUUUGGUCGAAAAAACAAAUUUCAAUAAAGAAUAAUUUUAUAUUUUUUUUUCUAUUUAUAUUAUGUAUUAUUUAUAUUUAUAUAAAUAACUACCCUAUUUUAUAUAUAUAUAAUUAUAUAUAAUAAUAUAUAAUAAAAUAUAUAUAUAUAUUAAUAUAUAUAUAGUUGGGCUGAUGCUACAGGUAGCAGACGGAGCUCUCGUUGCCAGCCCCAUUUGUUUUCCAAUGAGGAAGCGGUCAAAUCGACGAUCGAACGAAGGCAUUGAACAUGAUCUCUAACAUUGAAGUGUUUAAAAUCAAUUUCAAAUCUUGACUCAUUUGCCCAAUAGAUCAAGGGCUUUCAAAAUUUUGUAAUUUUAAAUGGUUAUAUAAGGUUUUCUCAUUUUACGGGCGUAAAGAAUUCAAAUAAUUGAAUUUUUAUCUUAGAAAAUUUUUUAACUAUAAAACAAGAUCUAUACUCUUAUCUUAAUUACAAGACUCAUAUCAUUAGUUUUUUAAGAAUAUUUAUUUUCAGCCAUUCAUUUUAUGGCCACUAGAAUGGACUACGAAAAACAAUAUCGAAAAUGUAAUGAAAUUUGAUUCAAAACACUUCAAGUGGUAUAGAUUAUUCAGGGUGCUGAGAUCAUUGAUUUGAAGGCUCUUCAUUCGAAACAAACGGUGGCAACAAGAGCCCGUUUGCUAUCAUAGUAUUUGCUCAACUUCUAGUAUAUAUAUAUAUUAAGUAAGUGGCUAUUAUAACUCUUUAUGAGUAUACGAACUUACUACUCAUAAGUGUUUUUGCGAUGUUGGAGUUUUCAAACUCGACGAAUGCCACAUCGUAAAUGAUUUAGAAUAUUUGAAGCUUCGUAGAAAAUAAAUUUCAUAAACUUUUCGAAAUUCAUUAUAAAGAUCAUAAGCGAGUUUAUUAAAAUGAACGGUAAAAUCGAAUAAUCCUAAAUGGAAUGAUCGGAAUCCUUUAUAUUAAAGAGUCGCGUUAAUUGCUUUUAUUUAGGUAUGUGAAUAGUAUUUUCUAUCUAAAAUUCAAAUCUAUAUACGAUUCUUGUUCACGAUUAACUAGCAAAUAUCUCUACUGGACGUUAAAAUUGUUCACUUUGUUGGAACGUUGACUCGUAUAAGUAAAUGAUAUUGAAUAAAUUAUAAAAUUAUUUUUAAAAGUUUUAAAUGGCUCUAGAUAUGUUUAACGUAUGCGAUCGUCGAUUGCAGAAGCUCUAUCUGUCGAAAAACUUAUGAGUACGAGGGCGAUCGUAUCAUAAGAGUACAGUAGCCGGACUCUAUAUAUAUAUAUAUAUAAGAGAAGAGAGAGAGGAGAGACGAGAGAUGAGAGAAAUAGAUACUAGAGAGAAGAGAGAGUUGACUGGGUAUAUUAGCUCCAAAAUUUAUUGUGGCUACUAGUUUUUUAGCCAUUGGAUAACUGCUUUCAUUAUUUCUAAACAUUGGAUUAAAUACUAUACACCCAGUGGGGACACUCAAACAUUAGUGACCACUCAACUCUAACCGUACUUAAUAUUAUUCUGACCUACAAGUUUUUCAUCGCGCCAAGGUUAAAACUUGAUAGUAAAAGUAUUUAUACUAUUAAUAGCAUUACCAGCUAAUUCUAUUAUAUAUAUAUAUAUAUAUAUAAUAUAUAUAUAUAUAUAUAUAUAUAUAUAUAUAUGCGGGAUAUUAUACUCUUAUGAGUAUAGAUCCUCUUGUACUCAUAAAUUUUUAACCUUAAUGAUAGGAUGUGUGGUUAGGAUGAUGGUUUCCCAGGUUACUAAAAUGAUAAAGUGCAAACCAAAGGGUACUAAGUGAUUAAGUGCGAAACACUCACAGGUACUACUUGAUACACUUUAAAUCACAGGUACUAAAGUUAAAAAAGUGCAAAACACAAGGUACUAACUGAUACACUUUAAACCACAGAUACUAAAGUGGAAAAAGUGAACACAAGGAGUAUUUAAAGUUUUUCCUAUAUAAUAUAUGGAUAUAUAUAUAUAUAUAUAUAUAUAUAUAUAUUUAUAAAUAAAAUAUUAUAUAAUAAUAUAUUAGUAUAAAGAGAACCAGAGGGAAGUGACUCUAUUCUAGUGAUUUUCGUUUUCCAGCGAAAAAAAUAAAAAAUAAAAAAACUUCAAUUUUUUCUAAAAUUAUAAAAAAUAUUUUUAUAGAAAAAUUAUUUUACGUCAAAUCAAAUAAAUAAAAGAAAAUUUAUACCAAAAAUUAAUAAUUUUUUCGUUUAUUUGAAGUGGUACCAAACGCUGGGUAAGUCAAAGAAAAGUACCAACAAUAAUAGGAGAAAAUCAUUACUUUGAAAUAUUUAUUUUUUUUGUGACCAAUAAAUUAACGCCAACACAAGUCAAGGUCUUAUACCAAGCCAAAAUUGACCUGUGAGUUUCCAGGCCGAAUCCAACUUUUUAUAGACUAAUAUGAAUAAGAAAAAAAAUAUUGCGACUUUCGAAUUAUACGUGCAUCUUACGUUAUUUAUAAAUCACACGAAUAAUAUAAUUUUACGUGCACAUAAUUAUACAUAAACUUAAUAAAAUAUAAAUAGAAAAUACUAAAAUAAAUAUUCCAAGUCUCAUUCGUAAGUACUAUAGUUGAUUACGCUCAUUUUCAUGAUUAUUGAAAAAAAGGGAAUAAAACAAAGAAGCCAAUCUCACAAGGUUCUUGUCACAAACAGUUUUUACUUGUCACUGAUGAGUAUAAUUUAUAAGCCAAUGCUUUUUUAAGGCUACUAUUCCUUUUCCAAAUAAUGGAUAAAAACACAUUUACUUUUUUUAAAAAAUUUGUCAUAAAUUAAACUUAGUUAAUGGACCCUACAAAUUGUAACAAAUAGUUAAGACUACUAUUUAUUCUAUAUAAUUUUGAUAAUAAAUAUUUUUGACAUAUUUUUUAUCAUAUACAUUUUUUUGAAUUUUGAAUUAGUGCACAAUAUUUUUAUGAGAAUGAAUGUCACGAGAUCUUUGAUUAGUCCUCUCACGCAGGUGAUCGCCCUGUCGUUAGGAGAGCGAGUAGGAUGAAACAAAUAAGAUUACACAAAUGCAUGCAGCUAGUAAUGCAGGUGAUUCACUUUGUGCUAUAAGAGCCGGCAAGUGUUUAAAUCUUGAAUGUCGUCUUAUACGAGCUAAGAUAAGACUGUACGAAGUUGACAGUAGAAAUGAUUCACGACUCUACUUGGCCUGUAUGAAGCUGAAUGUAAAGAAAGACACCAUGUGGGUGAUCGUCUUGAGGUUUGUUGUAUUGAGUGACAACAGAACCGACAUUCGUAUGGUAUUUUGAGCGUGACAUGUCCUUAGAGGUAACUCCACCAUAGCAUACGUUCAUACCGUAUGCGUAAGAUCAAUCACUAUAUUUUAGAGAGUGACGAAAUUGAUUCCUAUUUCGUCGCUGUGUGAGCUUUGCGUACCCUUUGGGGCUUAGAAUCAUGUCAUGAAAUUGAUACUUGGUGAUGCUAUUUUAGCACAUCUAAGGACCAUGAUUAAUUCAGUCCAGCAGAACAUGUCUAGAAAAAUAGUUAAGUUGAAAUGGAUUGAUAUGAGACAUCUAAGAAAAAAUUAUUUGAUAAUACAUCUAUGAUUUGUGACUCAUAAUCCGAACGAUUAUAUUGAUAUUUGUUGUCAAUAUAAUUAUGAGAACAAAUACAUUGAUGAGAGAGAUCUAAUCUGCUCUAUGAGAUUAGAGAUGCUAUGAUCUGGUGUGCAGUUCAGUGAUUUGGGGUAUAGACGAGAUUUGAAGUUGUAGUGUUAUAUUAGUUGGAUGGUGGCUUAAUAUAACACUCCUUAUUUUUAUUCUUCUCGUUAUUGAUCGCACAAAUUAUUUUCCGUAUAAAAAGCAGAAUGGGAUGAGAAUAUAUUUAGGAUGAAAAAGUAUAAAUAAGUAUCCAAUGUGGACAAAUCCUCUAUCAAUACGUAGAACUUUUAUAGAGUUCUUUCUGUUUGGUUCUUAAUCUCCACUAAAGAACGUUUAAAAUAAUGUAAAGUUUUUGAACAGUGAGACAACAGAAAUACCGAAUUAUAUUUAUAAUUUUAAAUAUAUUCAAAAUUAUAUUAUGUAAUAUAUAAUAAUUUAUAUAUAUAUAACAUAAUAUAUAAUAACACAUAUAUAAUAUAAUAUAUAUAAUAUAUAGAGUUAUAUAUUCAUAAAUAAAAUAUCAAAUAGAAGCAAGGCUGCUGUGCUCUUAGGAGCACAGAGCCCUCCAAGCUCCUGAGCCAUUUUCGACGAUGGGACACCUGAAUCGACGAUCGGCUCUGUUAGACUUGAUCUAACGUAUUUGAAGUUUCUAGAAAAUAAUUUUUGCGAUUUUUCGAUAUCAUAUUCCUAGCAAUCGAAAGGAUUCAAAAUCAAUAAUUUUUAACGGCUGGAAAUAAAAAUUCUAUAAAAAGCGGUGAUAUAGCACUAAAAUUUUCGAUCAGAAAUAUUGAUCUUGUUGUAGAUAGUAUAAAGAAUUUUCUAUCAAAAUUUCAUCUGAUUUGAAUACUUCUACACCGUUAAACUUGAAAACGGCAGAUAUCAACCGUUAAAAAUUAUUGAUUUUGAAUCCUUUCGAUUGCAAGGUAAAUAAUAUCAAAAAAUCGCAAAAUAUAUUUUCUAGAAAUUUCAAAUACGCUAGAUCAAGUCUAACGGAGCUGAUCGUCGAUUCGAAAAUUUCAUCAUCAAAAACGGCUCAGGAGCACGGAGGCCUCCGUGCUCCUGAGAGCACAGCAGUCUUGCUCAUCAAAUAGUAUAUUAGUAUAAAGAAAACGAGAGGUAAGUGACUCUUUUAUAGAUGUUUUUGUUUUCCACCGAAAAAAAAAAUAAAAAAUAAAAAUUUUAACUUUUUUAAAAAAUUGUAAAAAAUAUUUUUAUAGAAAAAUUAUUUUGCGUUGAACCAAAUAAAUAAAAAAAUAUUUUUAUAUCAAAAAUUAAUAAUUUUUUUGUUUAUUUUACGUGAAACCAAACACUUAAGUCAAAGAAAGGUUCCAACCAUAUUGGAGAAAUAUUUAUUUGUUUUGUGACCAAUAAAUUAACCCCAACACAAGUUAAGGCCCUAUACCAAGCCAAAAUCGAUCUCUGAAAUGUUCACGCGGAAUCAAACUUUCUAUAGACUAAUAUAAAUAAGAAAAAAAAAAUAUUGCGACUUUCGAAUCAUACGUGCAUCUUACGUUAAUUAUAAAUCGCACGAAUAAUAUAAUUUUAUAUGCACAUAAUUAUACAUGAACUUAAUAAAAUAUAAAUGUAAAAUGCUAAAAUAAAUAUUCCUGAGUCUCAUUCGUAAGUACGUACUAUAGUUGAUUACGCUCAUUUUCAUAAUUAUUGGAAAAAAUGGAAUAAAACAAAGAAGCCAAUCUCAAAGGCCCCAUUUGGUUAGCGGUAUAAGCGGGGAUAACGAAAGUUAUCCUCUCUAUUCCGCCAAAUAAAAUAAUUUUUGGUUUGAAUAUAUAUUUUAUCCCGGUCAACCUUGCUAUUCCCGGCUAUUCCGGAAUAGCUUGGGAUUUAUUAUUUCACUAUUUUGAUAGAAUAAUGCUAUUAUAAUAUUUAAUUUCAAACUUUAUUAAAAUUAUAAAUUAAAUUAAAACUAAAUUAUAUAAAUAUAAUAUGUUAAUAUAUUAUAAUAUAUUAUUUUUAUUAUAAAAUUAUUAAUUGUACUAUAUUAAUACAUAUUAUUUAUAUUUCAAUAUUAAAUAUUAUAAUAAAUUUAAUAAUAAAUUAUAUUUAAAUAUUAUAAAAUAUUUUUUUUAUUAAAUUUAAGUUUAAGUAGAAUUUUAAAAAUUAUAAAUUUAUUAAUAAUAAAAAANNNNNNNNNNNNNNNNNNNNNAAAAUUUAAAAUUUAAAAUUUUGAAUUUAAAUUUUGAUAUUUUAAAUUUUAAACUUUAAUUUGAAAAUUUGAAAUUUAAAAGUUAAAAUUUUAAAUUUUAAAAUAUAUAUAAUUUAAAAUUUUAAAUUUAAAUAUAAUAAGAAGGUAAUAUCAUUAUUUUUUAUUUAUAACUAUCCACUUUAAUUUUUAUUCCAUCUUAUCUAAUCAAACGCUAUUUUUCUUAUUCCUAGGAAUAAUUUAAUUUUCGUCCAAAUACAAAAUUGAUCUAAUCCCCACUUAUACCUCAAUUUAUACCUAUUCCUGGAAUAAUCACUUUUUGCUUAUCUUUGAACCAAACGAUACCAAAAAGUUCUUGUCAUAAACCAUUGUUUUUAUUCUUUUUAAAAGAAAAAUUGUCAUAAAUUACACUUAGUUAAUGGAGCCUACAAAUUGUAAUGUGGGGCCAAAUGUCUCUGAUUUGAUAAUAUAUUCGUAUGGCACCGGCCUUUUCACAUGGUGUUGGGGCCCAUGUCAUAUAAGGUUCAUUUGCAUAUGCACUUAUGUGGACACUCAUUGACGAGGGAAUUAUUGUCUUAGUGCAGUCAAAUAUUUAUAAAUUAUUUUCUCUGAUUCUUAGACGAGGCAAUCUCAACUCAUACCUGUCGGUGCUCGCAGAUUAUCCACAAAUUUAUGGGUAUGAAUAUCAACUUUUUUAGCCCAAAAAAUUUCAGAUUAACGGGUAGAUACCCAUUAAGCUGUGAACAUUUUGGAUAAUGCACGAGUGCCCACAGAUACCUGCAUAUAUAUAUAUAUAUAUUCUAAAAAUUCGAAUCCUAACUUUUUCUCGUUUUUUUUUAUUAUGAAAUUUUUUGCUUUAAUAUUUUAAAUAUUUUUAUUAUAUAUUAUGAUAUUUUAAAUUAUAUAUAUAUAUAUAUAUAUAUAUAUAGUGUGUGUGUGUGUGUGUGUGUGUUUUGCAUUUAAAAAAUAUAAGAGCAAGAGCAAAAAAGAAAAAAAAAAUUGCGGGUAAUCCGCAUACGACCCACCCGCCCACCCGCGGGCUGGUAUGAUAAAAAUAUUGGCUAUCCAAAAAUUUACAGAUAAAUUUUAUCCAUGCCUAAGUAACCCGCAGGUAUAAUGACCCACCCACGAAUUAUCCAAUUCGUCCGUUUGCCAGGUCUACUAAUUCUAUAUUUAUUAAUCAUUUUCUAUCAUCUCAAUCUUUAUACCGAUCAAAUCAUAUUGAUACAUAUAUAUAGCUAGAAAUUUUGCUGAGUCAGUCUCAAUAGAAUAUCCUUGAUUCAAGUAUUGUAAAAUAUUAUUUUUUUGAAAAAUAAUAAACAAAUUUAUAUAUAAGAAUUAAUGUUUGUAUUCAAUCUAAUCGAACCUUUCACCUGAUUCUAAAGUGUGAGCAUGGUUCUUUCCCCAAAAAUCAAGCUUAAAAAAAGAGGCAACUCACUCUGCUAGCAAGUAGACCAAAACGAGAGCCAAAGCAUUUACAAGAAAAUUCUUUUCCUUGUUCUUCAAAAAGACAGGGAGAGGAGCUUCAGAUCCACUUACAAAUACAUCCAAUAAUAAUAUUCUAUAAAUUUAUUUCUAUGGACGUAUUUUAUUGGUAACAGCUGUGGAAGUUAUUUGUUAGAUUUUAAUGAUUAGAUUUUUAUUUUUGAUAUUGUAAAUUACAAUACAGCCAAUUAAAUAUGGAGUGAGUUGGUUUGUUUAUAGAAAUACAGAAUUUUUCAUUUUUCAAGUCGUUUUUGAUGUUAUGAUAUUCGAAUCGACGAUUGGUUCCGUUAGACUUGAUCUAGAGUAUUUGAAAUACCUAGAAAAUAAAUUUUAUAAUUUUUCGAUAUCAUUUGCUUAGUGAUUGAAGGGGCUCAAAAUCAAUAAUUUUAAUGGUCAUUGUGAGCCGUUUGCAAGUUUAAUAGUGUAGAAAUAUUCAAAUUAUAUAAAAUUUUGAUAGAAAAUUUUUUAUAUUAUAUGAAACAAGGUCAAUAUUUUUGAUCUAAAAUUUUAAUAUCAUAUCAUCACAUUUUGUAAGAUUUUUAUUUUCAGCCAUGAAUUUUGAGCUCCUUCGAUCAUCAGAAAAAUAAUAUCAAAAAAUUAUUAAAUUUAUUUUUUAAAUAUUUUAAAUACUCGAGAUCAAGUCUAACGGAACCGAUCAUCGAUUCGAAAGUUCAAAUAUCAAAAACGAUUUGAAAGUACGGAUGACCCUCCGUACUUUCAGAAGCAUACCGGCCUCGCUUAUGUUUCAUGUCCACGUAAACGAGUUUGUAAAAUAUUAUAAAAUUUAUUUAUAAUACAAGUAAAAUAUCAGGGUUUUUUUUGCAAAUAGCCCCCUGAGCAAUUUUUAUUUUAAAAAUAGCCCUAUCAAAAUUAAAAUUGCAAAAAUGGCCCUAUCCCUGCCACGCAGGCGCCACGUCAGCGCCACGUGGGCAGGGCUGGGGCCAGGGUAUUAAGUUGAACACGGUGAAUCAUUCACCGUGUCUAAACACGGUGAAUGGUUCACCGUGUUUCUUACGUAUUUUUUGUAUAUUGAAAAGUGGAAUAAGGAGUAGGGAUGUCAAUAGGUAUGGAUACCCGAAAUAUUAUCCGAAUCCAAACCCGAAUAAAUUAUAUAUAUAUAUAUACGUAAUUUAUUUUUAUUUAUUUAUACAAUAUAUAAAAUAUUUAAUAAUUUUUAUUCUUUAAAUCUUCAUCCAACGGUAUAGAUUUUUAAAAUCCGCUGGGUUGGAUGAAGAUCUAAGGAAUAAAAAUUAUUAAAUAUUUUAUAUAUUGUAUAAAUAAACAAAAAUAAAUUAUGUAUAUAUAUAUAAUUUAUUCGGAUUUGAAUUCGGAUAAUAUUUCGGAUAUCCAUAUCUACAUCCCUACUCCCUAUUCCACUUUUAAAUAUGUAAGAAAAAAUACGUACUAAACACGGUGAACCAUUCACCGUGUUUGAACACGGUGAAUGGUUCACCGUGUUCAACUUAACACACGGGCCCAGCCCUGCCCGCGUGGCGCUGACGUGGCGCCUGCGUGGCAGGCCUAAGGUCAUUUUUGCAAAUUAAAUUUUGACAGGGCUAUUUUUAAAAUAAAAAUUUGUCAGGGGUCUAAAUGCAAAAAAAGCCCAAAAUAUCACGCUUUCUUAUACUUUGUCCUCCCACACGGGGCCAUACCUAUUUCUCUCUCUCUCUCUCUCUCUCUCUCUCUCUCUUUCUCUCUCUAAGUUCGUGGUUUGUUUGGUUUUUGCUUCUACAUUUAUUUAAUAAAAAGAAGAUAAUUAUUUGGAGUAGAGUAUUUGAUAGAUAGCAAAUUAUUUUAUGUCUCUAAUUUCGCCAUUCAAAAGUAGCAAUAACUAUCUGGAGUACGUCUCUUGUGCUUUCGAAAGUACGAGGCAUUCGUGUUUGUAAGUUAUUUUCGAUGAUAGGACAUCCGAUUCGACGAUCGGCUCCAUUAGCUAUAAUCUACGCUAUGGGAACUAUCUAGAAACAAAAAUUUAUAAUUUUUUGACAUCAUUUACCAAGCGAUCAAAGCGUCUCAAAAAUGACUAUUUUAACGGCCGAUGUGGCACGUCUUUAAGUUCAACGAUGUAGAAGUUUAUCCAAAUUAUAUGAAACUUUAAUAGAAAAUUCUACUUAACAUAAAGAGUAAGAACAAUACUUUCGAUUUGAAAUUUGAAUAAUUUAUCACUGUUUUUUAUGAAAUUUUUAUUUUCAACCGUUAAUUUUGAGCCUAUUUAUUCACUAGGCAAACGAAGUUAAAAAAUUAUGAAAUUUGGUUUCUAGAUAGUUUCAAUAGUGUAGAUCAUGUCUAACGAAACCGAUCGUCGAAUCGAAAAUCAUAUCAUCAAAAAUAACUUACAAGCACGAAAGCAUCCAUACUUUCGAAAGCACAGGAGCCUAGCUCGUAUACUCUAUACUCGAGUUUGAUAUUUACUUUUCCCACAUUAUAUAUAUCAUCAUAGCCUCAAUUAUUUAUGUACCUGCUCCAACCUUGCUCCACACACACACUCUCUAUCUCCCUAGUCCCAGAUAUGAAUUAUCUCUCUCUCAAAAGAUUCCCCUGUAGAAACCAUUAAGAAACACACCAAUCAAAUCCAAAUCCAAACACAAAUCCAAAUCAAACUCACCAAGGAAGUUGAAAUGGAUUGCUCGUCGCUGUCGCUGUUUUGGGUAAUGCUCACGACCUGUUUGUUGUUGGGCCUCACCGGGGGGGCGGCGGCGGCGGCGCGGAGCGUGAGCGUGAGCGUGGGGGCGCUCUUCACCUUCAACUCGACGAUCGGGCGCGCGGCGCGCCUCGCCAUCGAGCUCGCCGCCGAGGACGUGAAUGCGGACCCGAGCGUGCUCAACGGGACGAGAAUGGCCGUGCUCACCCAGGACACCAAUUGCAGCGGCUUCCUCGGAACCGUUGAAGGUCUUUUUUUUUAGUAUUAUUACUCUUAUUUUUAUUAUUAUUACUGCUGCUGCUACUACUGUUGAAUUUGAAUGUGAAAUAUUAAAAAAAAAUAUAUUUUUUGUUUAAUUUUUCUGAGAAUAAUAAUUGUUUCGUUUUUUUUUUAUUUUUUUAACAUGAUACUGGCCACGCGAUCUGAAUUCGAAUCUCAUCGUACUUCUAUUGUUUUUAAUUAAUUUUCUCUCGUUUAAUUAUUCUGUCAAAAAAAAGAAAAAAACGUGCAUUUGAUAAUAGAAUAAUAUUUGAAGGGACAAAUAUUUAAAUUCUUGGAUAACUCGGUAGGUAUCGUAGAAUAGAGAGGAAUAAAAAAAAUUUCGUAUUAGAUUAUUUAAAAAAAAAAUAAUUAGUGGAGCAUAGUUGGAACUUGAAAGAGUAUGGUGUGGAAAACAAAAGCGAAGGAUAAACUUGAAAAUAACCCUGUUACACAAUUUUUUUUUAGCAUGUUACCCGAUUCGUUUAUUUCAUUUAGAAAUAAACUUAGCUGGAAAUAUGAAUCAACUAGAAUUCGAAUUUGGGACCUCGGGUACUAACCACAAACCCUUUACUACUUGCUCUAGAGACAGUCGGUCUGUUACAUAAGUUAUUCUAAAAUAAUAUGGAGUAACCUGCUUUGACUUUGACCAAAAUAAAUUAUUUCUUUCAAAUUUAGUUGUGUUUCGCAAAGUGUAUGGGAUAAAAUGCUUUUUCCGUUGGUUAUUCUCUUUGCUGUAAAGACGUAAGAGGCUUUCUCAAUAUUGUUUAACAAUUAUUAUUGGUUUUUAUUACAUGAUUAAGCAAUUCUAUUGCGAAACAGAAAAGGGAUGAGAAAAAUAAAUUAGUGUAUUAGAUUAACCUGAACUUUUGCCGAAUUAUAUAUAUAAAAUGAUAAAAAAGUAUUACUUUUGUGUAACAAAAAAAAAAAACUUUAAAGUUAUUUUAAGUGAAAAGAUAAUUGGGUGGUGAUGUGUAAUUGUGUUUUUUUUUCCUCUUAGAGAAAAAGAUCACUUUUAGAUUAAUUAAAUAGCUUUGAUACUUACCACUAGCCCUUUUUUUUUUAUACAUGGUUUGUACGAGAAAUAAGAUUCUUUAUCAAAUUGAAUCUGUUGAGCUUUUUCUUCUCUUCUCUCUUUUUUUUUUAAUGUUUCCUUUUUUAUUAAUUCAUUUCUUAUUCCAUUAUUCGUGUUACACUGGCCUUGUAUUUUAAAAAGGUAAAAUAUAUGUUUUUGAAAGUUAAAGAGUAAGAGUAAAAAACCAGGUAUUUAUAGGAGGCUUUUCUGUAUUUUAGCCUUUCGUUUAUAUGGAAUUCCUUUCUCUCAUUUUCCUCCUUUAUGUGACGCCCUUUUGACACUUCUAGCUGGGGAUUGAUUUUAGUAAGAAAGUUAUAGUGGUAUCAAGAAAAAAGGAACAAACUUGUAUUCAUUUUGUUUAAAAAAAGGAACAAGUUUUGCGUGCCUUUUGGCUAUAUAUAUUGUGCAUUGAGCUAUUGAACUUGAUGCCGCAAUCUCGUCUUCUCGCAGCCUUGCAGCUAAUGGAGAAAGAUGUGGUUGCUGUCAUUGGCCCGCAAUCCUCCGGUAUAGGUCAUGUCAUCUCUCACGUUGUUAACGAGCUACACGUUCCUCUCUUGUCAUUUGCCGCCACCGAUCCAACUCUCUCCUCUCUUGAAUAUCCUUACUUUAUUAGAACCACACAUAGUGACUAUUUCCAAAUGAAGGCAAUCGCUGACAUGAUCGACUAUUUUCAGUGGCGAGAGAUCACUGCAAUUUUUGUCGAUGAUGAUUACGGGCGAGGAGGGAUAUCGGCUCUAGGCGAUGCACUCGCGGAAAAACGGGCGAAAAUUUCAUAUAAAGCUGCUUUCCCUCCUAAUGCAGAUGCUGAUGCCAUCAAUGACUUGCUUCUACAAGUGAACUUGAUGGAAUCUCGGAUUUAUGUUGUGCAUGUGAAUCCCGACUCGGGCUUGACAAUUUUUUCACAGGCUAAGAGACUCAGGAUGAUGGAGGCUGGUUAUGUGUGGAUGGCAACUGAUUGGCUUGCUUCAGUUCUUGAUUCUUCUGGCUUGGCUGAUCCUAAUACUAUGAGUCUUAUACAGGGAUCAAUUGUUCUUAGGCAUCAUAUACCGGAUUCUAAUCUCAAGACAAAGUUUCUGUCUAGGUGGAAUGAUAAAAUUGGUAAUUCGAGUGCCAGUUCGAGCUUGAAUUCAUACGGUUUGUACGCUUACGAUUCAGUUUGGGUUGUUGCUCGUGCUGUCGAUCAAUUGCUAAAUAAGGGACAGGAAUUCAAUUUCUCUAGUGAUCCAAGAUUGCAUGAUACAAAUGAAAGCACUUUGCACUUAGCAUCCCUCAAAAUUUUCAAUGAUGGCCAGAAUUUACUUAACCAGUUGUUGCUCACAAACUUUACGGGCAUAACUGGUCAAGUUCAAUUCGACUCGGACAGGAAUUUAAUACACCCGGCUUACGAUAUCUUAAAUAUUGGUGGAACAGGUUCGCAGGUUAUAGGCUAUUGGUCUAAUUACUCUGGUCUCUCAGUUGUUCCUCCUGAAAUUUUGUCUGAGAAGCCACCAAAUACUACAAGUAGCCAACAACUCUACAGUGUCAUCUGGCCCGGUGAAACUCCGACGAAGCCUCGUGGUUGGGUUUUUCCGAAUAAUGGCAAGGCUUUGAGGAUUGGAGUUCCGAAUAAAGUAAGCUUUAAUGAAUUUGUGUCGAAAAGUUCUGGUCCUGAUAAUGUGACUGGAUAUUGCAUCGAUGUAUUUAAUGCUGCGAUUAAGUUGUUACCAUACCCGGUUCCUUGCUCAUUCAUAUUGAUUGGAAAUGGUAAGGAGAAUCCGAACAAUGAUGAUAUCAUAAGCAUGGUCGCUCAAAACGUAUGUGCUCUAUUUUCACAGACCUGAAUUUUUCUGUUCUUUUCGAGUUCUAAUGUUUAAUUGCAUAUUUUCCAUUUUCGUUUGAGGCUUUUACUUAUAUAUCCCUGCGAAGUAUCCAUUUUCGAAUAUAUUCUGUAAAUCUGAAGUUUCAUAUGUAUCCCUUGAGAAGUGCAAUUUCAUACAAAAAAGUACCAAUAUAAGUUGGGGAAUCGCCCAAUUUGUGAGGGAGAGUAGGUUCUGUUUGAAAAGGUGUCCUACAGAUGGAUACUAUUUUGACAUACAUGAAAGUUCAAAUUUUGCAGGGAUAUAACUUGAGAGACAAUUUUGCAGGAUAUAUUUAUCUUAUCUUUUUUCCUUUCUUUCUUUUUUUGCAAUUCUAAGCCUGGUUCUGCUCUCUAGGAGCUAGAUGCAGCAGUAGGUGACAUUGCCAUCGCGAGAAACAGAACAAAGAUUGUAGAUUUCACACAGCCUUAUACUGAGUCGGGCCUUGUAAUAGUGGCACCUGUGAAGCAAAGUAGCUCCAGUGCAUGGGCUUUUCUGAAGCCCUUCACUAUACAGAUGUGGUGUGUAACAGGAGCUUUCUUUAUUGGUGUUGGGGUGGUUGUUUGGAUUCUGGAGCACCGCAAAAACCCGGAGUUUCGAGGAUCACCGAGACAGCAACUUGUGACACUAUGCUGGUUAGUCUUCUUCCCCACACCCCUGAGAAUUAUAUCUUAAUCAUCAUUGUUGAAAAGACAGUUUUAUCUUACUUUUAUACUGUUUUAAGGUUGCUCACUCCAGGAACACUUUAAAUCUGAAAGUUGUCCUAACAACUAGCUUAUGUUUCUGUACCAAAAUUUGUGAAUAUCAAAAUCAAUUUUAGGUAGAUAACAAUAUAUAAUGAUUUCGAAAAUUCAGGUAAUUUGAUAAGAUAUCUUUUAGUUAAUGCAAAUUUUACAGGGGCAAAAAUAUCCUUUGAUACAUGAAACUCUGAAAGUUACAGAGAGUAAUUGUGAAUUGCAGAAUUUUUUUUUUCUUUUUUCUUUUUUUUCAGCUGAGGCUAUCAAGCCAUCUGACUAGUCUCUACGGCAGUAAUUUCCACAAUCCAAUAUUAGAACGAUUUUUUAUGCACACACGAGGUCUAUCCAAGUGUGCAUAGCUUUUACUUCUAGUUUUGUUCAUUCAUAUUCAAAUUUCUUUUAUAUAAUUAUCAGUUUUAUCUCUGUGUGUUACUUUUUACUCAUUUUUGUAACAUUUGAAUCUUCUCCAUUUUUAUCUUUUUUUGACUUUUAAUGAAUGGACAUUUUUAUCUUAUAAAUGUAAUAUUUUAAUUCUGCCAUUCUUUCCUUGCAGGUUCAGUUUCUCAACAAUGUUUUCUGCACAAAGUAAGUUGAUUUGCCUCAGAAAAGUUUCAAUUCACAAUACUUUCUCCACAAGCUCGAACUUUACACUGCUGUAUAUGUUUUUCAGGAGAGAACACAGUGAGCACCCUUGGACGGUUUGUGCUAAUCGUAUGGUUAUUUGUAGUACUAAUAAUCAAUUCAAGCUACACCGCCAGCCUCACCUCCAUCCUUACGGUUCAACAACUUUCUUCGGGAAUUAAAGGACUUGAUAGCUUGAUAUCGAGCUCAGAGCCAAUUGGUUAUCAGGUCGGGAAAUUUACGCGGAAUUAUAUGAUAGAAGAGCUGAACAUAGCUGAGUCCAGGCUCAUACCUUUAAAUACAAUAGACGAAUACGCAAGAGCUCUUGAGCUCGGGCCCAAAAAUGGAGGUGUCGCAGCAAUAGUAGAUGAAUCUCCUUAUGUUGACAUCUUUUUGUCAGUAUACUGCAACUUCGGGAUUGUGGGGCAGGAGUUUACCAGGGAGGGAUGGGGAUUUGUAAGUACCAUCUUCUACUGUGACCAUGAAAUUGAUUUUUCUUUACCGCUUUUCUGGUUAGCGAAGUUUAUCAUUUACUUUUUAUUUUCUUCUGUUUUGAUAAUAGUUCUAUCCGUAGGUCGACCGUAACUUAGUUAUAUGUUCUUUACAGGCCUUCCAAAAGGACUCUCCUCUAGCAGUGGACCUCUCAACCAUGAUUCUCACACUAUCAGAAAAUGGCGAGCUCCAAAGGAUCCACGACAAAUGGCUUGUACGUAAAGGAUGCAACAGCGACAACACCGACAUAGAAUCGAACCGGCUUAGCCUUAAGAGCUUCUGGGGUCUCUUUCUCAUAUGCGGUCUUAUAUGUGUCCUUUCUCUUAUCAUAUUCUUCAUAAGAAUCUGUUGGCAAUAUAGCCAAUACAGCAGUACUGCAGAGCCUGGAAACUCCGCUGGAACUCCAAAUGGCGAAACACUACCGAGGAGGAUGAGUAAUUUAAAAAGCUUUAAGGAUUUGAUUCAGUUCGUCGAUAAGAAGGAGGAGGAGGUCAAGAAAGCUAUUAAGAGCAGAUUGAGUGAUAAAGAAUCUCAGAGUUCACGAGUGUCCAUUGGAUAGCUGAUUUGAUGUGCGUCAGGAGGCUAUUUUGGAUUGGAAGAUACGAAAUUUCUUUUCCUUUUUCUAAAAUAAUUUUCACUCUUAUAUCGCUUCAGAAAAUGACAUGUAGCAGUUCGUAUCUUUGAAAUAGCAACGCAACUUCCCCAAGAUUUAUAGUAAUAUCAUCUGAAAUUCUGUAUAUUCUGCAGUUUUUCUGUUCCUUUGUGCUGCAAUGUAUGUUCAAAUGAAAUGCGUGUUGAGUUGUAUACUUUGAAUAAGGGUGAAAUGAAAGAGGCAUCUCUCUUUCUCUCUCUCUCUCUUUUAUAUAGAACACUCUAGAGUGCUCUAGAAACAAGUGCUCUCUCUACUUGCUAAUAAAGCACUCUAAAGUGCUCUAAAAACUACUUGCUAAUAGAGCACUCUAGAGUGCUCAAGUUGAUAGGUCGGAGGCCUAUAAAUAGGUGUGAGGGCCCCGCACCAAGUGAAAAGACGUGUAGUGAUGUGUGUAGUGACUGUGGUGAGAUAUAGUGUAGGGAGUGAGGGUGUAUAAAAGGUGUGUUGAGCUGUGAAUUUAGUGUGUGAGUUUUUUAGUCUUUUGGGUGUAUGUAAUAAAAUUAUAUGUGAGAGUUAUUUUGUGUGUAAUAAAGAGAGUUUUAUUAUUAGCUUGGUACGCCAAUAAUUCUACAUGAAAAUGUCCAAAAAGACACUAAAAGAAUCAGUUACUUAACAGGGUGACAUUGUAAGAAUGAUUCAGAAGGUAAUGCCUGUUACUACAUUCAAUAAGGAAGCCUCAGAUUUAGCCUCCUCAACCAUAUGGAGUGAAGCACCAUGUGGAUCACAUCCAACCUCUUCGCGGGUCGGUUGAGCUCAAAGUGGCGCCGCACCUGAGCCACCCUCGCCCGUAAUACUUCGUACCGCCGCCCAGAAAUUCCUUGUAGUAUGGUCUUGAUCUCAGGAAUCUUCUCAACAGGUAUCUGCACUGAGAAUUUACUCCAAUCAAGCACAUCACUGAAAGGCAAUGAGUAGUUCACGGAUAUGAUCACCGGUACACAACCUGAUGUUAUCGACUCCACGAUCCUUGGGCUUGCUACCUCGUACCCGCUGGGACACAAGCAGUACUUGGUCGAGCUCAUGAACUCGUCAUAGUUCAGGCCCCUCGGCAGGUACUCGUAGACGACGACUUCCCGAUCCUUCCCCUGCCAGUGUCGAAGCAGGAGUUCCCUGAGGUAGCCAUGCGACCCCCCUGCAAAGAAUGCGAGGAUCGUUCUUUCGGUUGGCGGACGGUUGAUCGUGUGGUGACGGGGGAGGCGCCGACCUUUGACGUUUACUUCGGGAAGCGUGACGUCCUUUCCACGCUCGAAGCCUUCCGACAUGUUCGCGUUGCAGAUCACGCAAAUCGAGUUCUUGUAGAGCUGAGGAUUGGCACCGGAAAGGUACGGUGCCUGAAAAUGAAAUGUUUCAAUGGCAAAUUAAGGAGACUAUAGUACUGACGGUUAAAUCUCGCAUCUGAAACAGCUUCUCUACUCUAGAACAAAAAUUAAAAACUUUUAAAAACUUUUGACAGAAGAGAGAGAAAUGGCAGAUACCCAAUCAUGGCAGGAGACUAUGAAAUGAUCGGCCCCCUCGCUGCGAUUCCAGUAAGGAUACUUACUAGCUAUCACAUCCACGUAAUCUGCGCCUAAGCGGCGCUGAGGCCCCCAGUAGUCGAUCAUGUCGCGGCGGUAGAUGUACUUUACAAUGUUGACAAUGCUGAUGGGGAGAAAGAACACAUGAGCCUCGUCAGGGCGGCGAGCUCUCAGCGGAUUCUUCUCAUCCUCUAUCUCACUGAUGAAAUGCCCUUCGAUAGCAUAAAUGCUCGACUCCGGACCGCCGUGCGUGAUCGGUGGCUCGCCUUCGUUGUAUAUCCACACCUCGAAUCUCUUCUCCAUCUCAAUGUAGCUCCUGCAUGUUAUCAAACCUCUACGUGAGAGACCAACAUGUAGAGAGGACCAACAUUCAACAGUAUUCUUCAAUCUUAUAACUAGUUUUGUUGCUUUUACUACUUAACUGAUAAAAGGCAUAAGGGUUGCGAUACACGGCGCCUCUCUGGACGAACUCUUCUCCCUUGCUUGAAGUGUAAUUGUGCGAAAGGAUGGCCCGUCGAAUCGAGGCUCGCGCAUUUGCGAGUCCCUUCUCUAUGCCUCUUCUAUUCUGAAUUCUAGUUACGUUAAGCGCAGCAGCAAGUGCGCUAUUCGUUUGUAAAGCAGAAGUAGGCAGAGAUGGCGAUGACGACAAUGGCAACGAUGAUGAGAGUGCGAUAGAAGGUUGCGACGCAGCAUUAGCGGCUUUCGGGCCACCGCGAAAUUGUGAAAGGUGGUUUUGAUCAAAGAAGAGAAAAGAGAGUAGUAGGAGAAGAGGAAGUAUGGAGAAUGGGAGAGAAUAGGAGCUAUUACUGCAACUCAUGCUACCCAUUCUCUACCAACUCAAACAAUUUGGUUAGAGAGAUCCCAUGCACGCAUGUUAUCUUUUAUAAUGUUUCACAACUGUUAGUGAUAUUAAUGCAUGAUUUUUUUUUUUCCCCUUCUUUUUGCGUUUCUGUUAAUUUAUAUUAUAGUUAGGGAGUGAGAGCAACGUAGACGCUACGGAGUGAGUAUGUGGCACGUCGGGGCACGUGCACUGAUCCCAAAGCCACGUGCAGAGAUUCUGGGCCGAGUAUGUGGGCCCAACAACCAAUGCAAGGCCCAGUAGCAGAUUCUUAGGCCGUGGGCUUCAUGGACUCUUAUAUUCGACUAAAAUUGAGGACGCGUUUGGUUGCGCAAAAGUGACACGACAAAGCGGUACUUUUAUUUCUAGGAAGUAGCUAUUCAGAAAGUGUCUUAAUUUCUACAUGUUUUGAAAAAAACUUUUUAUAUUUGGAUGUUCAGAAAAGAGCAGAUAAUAGAAACAACUAAAUGCACGAAAAUAAAAUACAGUGAACCUCUUAGAUUGCUAGAGCAUCAACACAGUACCAAGAGCUGAUAUUGCAAGAACAACAGUAUAUAACAAUGAGGAAAAUCAAAAUUGAUUCGGCGAUCUGGUAACCCCUAAAAUGGGAGUAGCAUCAUCUACAGAGUAAAAUCAGAUUUAUUUUGCAUUGUGUCCAAAUUAUUUUGCAACACAAUACUAGCACAUUCAAUGUUCAAACUAUUCAGAGAGUAGAUAAAGGGGAAAGGAACAACAACAGUGUAGCUGAGUAUUCCAAAAUUUAUUUCCACAAACAUGCAACAAAAAGCAGAUGAGGUUUUUAUGGGAGUUGAAUGCCACACAUCGGCCUCAAGAACGCUAUUUCUUUCUGGAUUCCUUUUUUUAGUUUUUUCCUUGCGCUGUUCGUUUCUCACUCUAGAUUGACUUCCUGUCUCUUUGGUGGAUCCAGCUGCAGGUAAUAGAAAGGUUCUGUUGGUUCCUCCCUGUGACAUUCCACCAGAUAGUUUUAGCCAAUGUGCAUAGAGAACAGAGAAUUCAGAUAUAAACAAAAAAUAAAAACGGAAAAGAACAGCAUGAUCAUCGCUAAUUAUGUUGGAAAUUCGGAAGUUCCACAAAAGUGCUGUUUGAAAGAUCUGCUCAAAGAGGGCCUGGCAUCUUUCAUUAAGAAUCUUGCCAACAGCUUCCUGAUCUGGCGGGAAGGUCUAAAUUUUGGUCAUCUUUCGACUGUAAUAAGCCAGAUUCUUCAUUCAUAUUUGGAGGGGAACGACCGAUUAUGAAGAUCGAAUUGGGUCUCUGACCGAGAAGGCCUACCUGCUCUGUAAGCUGUUGACGUUAAUCCUACCUUUCUACGAGGCACUAGGAUAGACAGACGGAAGAACAAGAUUGUCAAUUGCCAAACUUUUGCUUCUCGAGUAAAUUGGAAGUUCUAGUAAGCGAGGCAAAACGAAAAAAAAACCAGUACCCUUUCUUGAACUAGCUUUAGUUGGGCAACUAUUUCUUUUGGGUAAUAUAUAAUGGAAUUAGCCUUGCAGCAUAUCUAUUUCAACCUGAAGCAGUUCAACAAGAAUGAAGCCGGGAAAGCCUCAAUUCUUUCCUUAUUGACGAAGUAGAUAGCCGCCUAAUGUGCAAGGAUCUUAAGCUCCACUUACUUCUUAUAUCCUACAAUAUCAUGUUCCAAACAAAGAAAUGAUAAAAUUGCAGUAAACUUCAAUGUGAUGACUUGACCAAGUAAUUAUUGAUAGCUGCCUUUCAGAAACUCAAAGAAUAAAAAUACAAUAGGCAUCAAAUCCUUGUAGAUAAAGGCUUCAAUUAUCUUUCUACCUGAUCAAUCUGAACUUCAAGAAUAGGCCAUGCAAAAAAAAGAAGAAGGUUGAAAUGCAUAGUAACUAGUAAGUCAUACUGCCCACAUCAAUCUUUAGGAUUUCUGUCUUAAUGCUGACGCGCACACUAAAUUCAGAAAAUUGCACAAAAUUGUAAGGACAGAUUCUACAUUAGUUGUCCAAACUGGAGGCCACUUAUCUCGCUUACAUCUCCACGUGAAAAAUACAUACCCAGGUUUUGAUCGCAUGCAUCGCCAAAAGAGCUUGAAAGGGCCUGGAACAGUUUUAAAUGGAUUCCCUUCAAAGCAGGCCUGCAAAGCAACAAAAAAAAGGCAAAAAAUACCUCAGCACAUAAUAUAUGCUGCACCACAGACAUGCUUCUCCGAAAAGCAGCUUAAAGCAAUUGAAUAUGGGAAAAGCAGCAAAAUUGAGUUACAAACAAUCCGAUAGUAACAAAAAAAUUCAACAGGAUAACUUAACACCCAAGCUGAAGAAAACAAAUUUGGCAUUAGUCGGAGCACCAGCAUCCAUCCAAUAAAGAGCAACAAAUCCAUAUGGCGUCGGCUUUCACCCAAGAAAGAAGUAUGCCAUAACUAAAAUUCAUUUUCAUCACAUAGUUCCCUUCAUGUUUUUUGCAUUUAUUUUUCUCUCUUUUUCUGAAUUUCAUGUACUAUUCUUUUUCUUUCUUUUUUUAAAAAAAAUCCCUUACCAUCAAAGAAACAACUCACCUUACAUGAGAUACUCUAAUCAGAAAAAUACUUCAACCGAUAUAAAUAAAAAGAGUGAGGUAUUCGAAAGCUAUGAUUCAUUUACACUGCUAGAACUAGAAUAUAAGAGGCAUCUAAUAUACAAUAACCAAUUCCACGAGCAAAUAGAGGUGGGGGAAAACUCAGGAAAAAGCUGUAAAACAAAAUAAUUACCUGGAUUACAUCCUCGGCUCUAUCAUUGCACCGAUGCGCCUGAGGCUGCCGCGUGUCACCUUCCGGCAAACCCCACGGACUCUCUCUCCUCGGAACUGCCCUAGAAGAACUCAUUCUCCCACUCUACCAAUAAUGGGUAAUCCAACCAAUAAGGAAAAAUGAGAAGAUUUUGAACCAAGAAACACUUUUUUUAAAAAACCUGUGAACUAAUUCUUUAUCUCAAAAUCAUGCUCAACACCAGAUUUACACAUUCCCCUUGACAGAAGUAAACAUUCAUAAAUAGUGCGUUUUAAUCAUGAAGAAGCUAGGAAUUCCUGCUGAAAAACUUGUACGGAUGUUAAAACUCAGUAGAUACCAGGACAGGGAAGGAAAAAAAAAGAAAAAGGAAAAGAAAAGAACCCAAAACACACUCCAAAAUCUAGUUUUUAUCUCAAAAAUCACGCUCGGUGCCAAAUUCACACCCACUUCCUCUCAAUACAAGCCAAAAUUCACCAUUAAUUCAUUUUAAUCGCGAAAAAUCUAAGAAUUCCUCGUCAAAUAGCUUUCACAUAUAGUGCAAUCCCAGAGGAACCAAAUCUCUUUAGGGUUUAACAAUAACCAAACCCCGCCCCCCCUCCACACACACACACACAAAAAAAAAAAAAAAAAAAAANAGUCAACUACCCUGUGAAUCAAGGGGAUUAGUAGGAUCCACCUAUAGAGAAUUUAAUUUUUUUAAAAAAAAUCUAGGAGCUUACUCGUGUGCGAGAUCGAGAAGUAGCCGAGAUGUGUAGCACAGAGUAAUGGGGAAGAGAGAGGGAGAGGGGAACGAAGAGAAGUGACUCUUAUCGGAUCCGGGUCUCUUGGGUUUUUAGUCCUAGGCCCGGCCCAUUCUCACCCAAUUUGAAGUUUUGGGCUCACUCAAAUUAGGUUUCGCAUCUCUCUCACUCUCUCUCUCUCUCUCUCUCUUCGUCUUCGUCCUCUUCCCCAUCCAUGGCGAUACACCACCGCGCCCUCCUCGCGUCGACGAUCGAGCUUCGUCGUCUUCCCAUGUACGUUCCCAAAUCUAUUCGAUCUCCCUCUCUCUCUUCUCUUCCGCUCUUCGUGUCGUUUCUCGAUCCUUUUUUCCUUCAUUAAAGCUUGUUUCUUCUUAAGCACCUUAAAUUACUUAUUUCCUCGUCGCAACGUUUGCCAUGUUCAGUAACUAUGUAAUCGGUGGGUUAAAAACUGAACUUUGAUCUAUUUUAAGCAUGAUCUACGUUGGAAGAUGUAUCUAAUGUGUAAAAUAAUCUCCCUUUUCUGUGUUUUGAUCACUGUGUUUAUUAUUUUGGUGUGUAAAAGUGAUUAAUAUGGUUUACGAAAUUGUCUAUUGUGUACUGGGUUGGAUUGGAGUGAAAGUUCAACCAAUCACGGGUUUUAGUAAUUUUUAUCUGCUAUUUCUUAUAUUAUGGAAAAAUUCUGUCACAGUGAAAAUUCUGAAGUUCUACAUGCAAAUUUUCAUGGUUCUCAUCUACUGCAGGUUCAUGUAUUAAGAGCUUAUUUGGCUCUUUUAUAGAUUGAAAGUGAUAUUUGAAUUGUGCCAUCGGAAGAAGCACUGUUUUAAGAUCCUCCGAGUAGUAGAAUCCAGAGAUGCAAGUCGAAACUUUUGCUUUCGAGGCUCGGAAUCUCAUAUCAGCUACCCGCAGUAGUUGAACAUUUAAACUUCCAAUUGGUGAAUUUCUACUAGGCUAAAAGAGAAGCAUAAGCUAGGUCAAACAGGCACUGUAUCUAGUAUAUUGAAAAUAAAUGCCCCCUCUGGGACCUCCAUCACCUCGCAUCCUCCUAAACAACGUCUCUUGCAUGCGAAAUGCACAAACCGUCCUCCGCAACAUUAACGUCUCCGUGCACGAUGGCUCUGCCCUCGUAUUAACCGGCGCUAACGGUUCCGGGAAAACAACCUUCCUUCGAAUGCUAGCUGGAUUCUCUCGCCCCUCCGCCGGUGAGAUUCUUUGGGACGGACAUGACAUUACUUCCCCAGGAGUCUUCCAACAAUACAAGCUUCAACUCAACUGGCUUUCGCUCAAAGAUGCUGUAAAAGAAAAGCUAACUGUCUUAGACAAUGUCCAAUGGUUUGAAGUUUUAGAAGGAAAAAGCGGUAAAUCGGUUGAAGCUUUGGAGCUGAUGGGGCUUGGCAGGCUAAUUAAUGAGAAGGCACGGAUGCUCUCUAUGGGGCAGAGGAAGCGGCUGCAAUUGGCUCGAUUAUUGGCUAUUGAUAGGCCGAUUUGGUUGCUUGAUGAGCCAUCAGUUGCUUUGGAUGCUGAGGGUGUCCGGUUGCUCGAGCUUAUAAUUGCAGAGCAUCGUAAGAAGGGCGGAAUUGUGUUCGUGGCCACACACCUGCCUAUUGCCAUUGAAGAUGCUAUGUGUCUGAGGCUUCCAACGAGGUUUCCUAGAAGAAAAACUCUGGUCGAUUUGGUUCAUUGAAGUAAGAAUACAUCUUCUAUCUGUUAUGUUCUAUAGUUCCUUCAAAUAAAUUUUUGUAGUUUAGAAGACUAUGUUUUCUCCAGGAGUUUUCGUUCUUCAAGAUUGUGUAUUGUAGUUAAAAAGUGGGAGAACAAAGUUUUCCAUUUGCAUUGUUGCUGAGUAUACUGCUGAAAAGUACGAGAACACAAGUCAUGUAAGCACUUUAUGCAUAUGUCAAGUAGAAGAAAAGAACUGUUCUUUGUACAAGAAUAAUAUGCACCUCAGUUUAAAACAUUAUGAAAACAGAUCCACAUACUGAUUGCCUGUGACCUAAUUUCUGCUGCUUCUUCAAUUUGACAGUUCUAUCUCAAGAGGGUAUUUUACUUCUCAGAAUAAUGUAAAAUCUCCCUAUAAUUUUGUGUAAUAUUCUUAAAAUUUUACUCACUUAAACUGCUACUAUGUUGAGAAUUUAAAUAGAGAUCAUGUUCAGACUAUGUCAACCCCAAUAUUCAGCAAUUGUUUAUUCUAUUGGAGUUUGAAGCCAAUGUUCAUUAGUUCUUGUCCAUUUACUAUUUUGAUUCUCAAAUAGAUGGCUUGUUUUAUAUCAUAUGUUAUUCUCUUUUGAUCCUUUGUAUUCAAAUGUGUUUGUAUAUAUUACGCUCUAUCCUUAGUGAUCUAAUUCAAGAAAAUGUUUACCCCCCUGCUGAUUAAUCCAAAUUGGUUACAAUGAGUUGAAAAGUGCGUACGACUGAUGCAUUAAAAGCACCCAAUGUAUCUCCCCUUUGAAGCACAAGAUGUUUGUUAUAGAAGUUUGAAGUGGUAAAAUUCACAGUAUUACUUUCACAGGUAAAAGCUACACAAUGGAUUGUAAGAUCAAUGAACAUUAGAAAGAUGGAGAGCAUUGCAGAGGAACAGCACAAAGCCGUCCGAUUGAUUUUGCAGGGUGGUGGUUUGAUUGGUGAAUGGUGACCAGGUAUUCCAUCCGAUUGAUUUUGCAGGGUGGUGGUUUUAUUGGUGAAUGAUGACCAGGUAUUUUACCUGACCUAUUUCAUCACAGUAUUAUGAUACUAGAAUUACUAUGGUGAAAUGACUUGGUGGUUGUUCUUUGUGGGCCUUCAUCUCAUUCAAUCAUGUCCUGCUCGCAAGAUUCUUACCUGAUUGGGUCCGUAGAUGUAGGCUAAUAAAUGGGCCCUAAGGAAGUUAAGUGUACUAAAUGCUUACUAUGCUCCGUGGAUCUACAAUUAAUCCAGGAAGAUGUCUCAUUAGAACACAUUGCAUGAAGUGUCACCUUCGACAUACAUUUAAGUAAUGAUGUGAUCUUUGUACAGCACACUGUUUCUUGGACUAUCUAUAAUAUAGUAACUAUUUACUUCACGGUGCACUUACUAUGAUCUCUUUUUUUUUCCCUCCAGUUCUAUCUCAUUGAAUGUUCUUUGUAAAAUUUAGUGCCAUCUCUUUGGUUUCAGUUUGCUUCAAACUGUAUUAGAAGUUGAUUUUAUCAGGAAGUCGUGUAUUUUUUAUAUCCCUCUGUGACUAAAAUGCAAUAUGUGAAAGUUUAGAAACUGAGGAUCUUAUGUUAAGAGUGGAGGGACCUUAUUCAUGAUAUUAGAAUAGUACAGGGACUGCUUGCACAUUAUAACGUAGAUUCUUGACAACCUGGGGGUAUAUAUAUGCAUUGAAACAAUCUGAGCAAAGUUGACCCACAAAGCGCUGUCCCUUUUGUUGCACAGCAGUGGCCAUUAAAUGCUGCACGCUGGAUUCUGGAAGCUGCUGAACCCUUUUCCUAUAUAAAGCCUCUGUAACUCAGCAGACCUAUUUGACCUAAGUAAUUGCGAUACCCUUACGAUUCCACAUCAUAUAAUGUGGGAGAUUGAGGGGAUCUUAUGUUACACCUAAUUAGAUUUAAGCAUUUUGGACCGGUUGUUUUGGCCCUAACAAAUUACUAGUGGUAGCAGGAUAAGUCGUUACAAUGAGUAUCAACACUGACCGACAGCCGAAAUUAUGAGAUUAGUCUCAUAUCAUUUGGUGACUUUAGGUCAGGCGUGUAGGGGCUUAAAGCCUUGGGGGGAAGUAUGUGACACUCUCGUAUAAUUCUACAUUGGAUAAUGUGAGAGAGUAAACGGGUCUUACAUGUAACUAGCACGCUAAUAACUUGCUUAGGUAUUUUAACUAAUGAUUUGGGUUCAGCCAGUUACUAGUGCUAGCAGGAUAGGUCAUUAAAAUAAUACUAUGUUUGCUUCAGAAAGUUGAUGUAAUCAGUUUCUUUGGAGGCUAUGUGUUAUCAAUCAUCUUAUGUUUUGUGUAAAUAUUUCGCCUAUAUAAGUUCUAUUGUUGUGAUUGCGCUACUCAUUAUGUUUCUUCUAACAAGUUUACUUAAGCAGCUCUUUCGCAUAAACUCUAGUUGGACCAAGUAAGCCCGUAUUCCUUGCAUUCUGUGCACUAAUUGGAGAAGGAUUCAACCUUGGUGAUUAAUAUUUUUGGUAAUGAUAAGAUGAUCACCUCUAAAUUGAUAUUUUAUGGUCUUUACAUUGGUAAUCAAUACUUGAAGCAUCUCGGGUAGCUAUUGGAAGUAUAAAGGGUAACAUUUUAAUGAUCUUUUUUAUUUUGAGAGAGAGAGAGAGAGAGAGAGAGAGAGAAACUUUUUAAUGAUGUUAGAAGAAUAACUGAGAUUGCAAAUGAUGGCAUGGAGUAUAUGACCUUGAACUAUAUUUAUUGGCAUUUAAACCAUCAUGGUCUCUUAGAACAAAGCUAAAAGGGCUACUUUGUGCUUGAAUCCAAGCAUCAAGGGUCCAACCCUUUUAAAUACCAUCUUUUAUGAACUCUCCCCUCUUGCCAACAUUUAGCAUUGACCAUCAAUAGGUAUGUGCAUUGGUAAGAGCAUUUAAGUAUACAGUUGUAACUAGCACUCAUCUCCAAGAUACUUCCAAUUCUUUGAAUGCCUCUGUAUCCAGAAAGGAGGAAUAUUAGAAAGCCUUAUACCCAUAACUACCCUUUAAUUCAUGUUGGUGGAGGGUGUUUGAGAUGGAAGGCAUGAAGCAUAUAUUAAAGUGGAUGGGAGUAUGCGUAUAUUGAAGUGGGAUGAGUGGGUGUGAGGCCCAAAAAUCUAGGAGUGAGAUUUGGUCACAUUCUUUCUCAGUAUUUCUCUCUAGGACACACUACAAUAACUCCAACCACGUUCCUUCCUCUAUGAGAUCAUAUUUAUUUAGAGGAAGAGGAAAGAGGUUGCAUGUUGGUAUCAACAUUGAUGAAAAUGAGAUAGGUAUUAUCCACUGACCAAUAAUACAACAAUUGUACAUAUGUACUAAGGUUCCAAGUUCGAAGCUAGUUGUUUAACAUUUUCAACUAAGUUUAGCAAACUAUGAAUGCCUGGUUAUGGCUUUAAUAAUGGUUAUCAAAUUCAUUUGAUAUUUGUAUAUAUCCUUUUUGGGAUAUUUGAAUGUAAAACAUUGGCACCAACUUUAGAAUGUUAUUACAACAUGUGUAAUACUAACUUAUUAACUAUAUUUUAUAUUUUAUAUUUUAUAUUUUAUAUUUCUCCUGGGUUAUCACUUAUGGGUUGAUUUGAUUGGUUCACCUUAAACUCGAUACAUUUUUUAGUUAAAAUGAGUCAAAGUUAAAAGGGUGUUAAUAACGAAAGGGGUAAAAGUAGGAGAUCUUUUGGUGGGAAUUAAUAUUUGCCAAAAUAAAAUUUGAUAAUGGCAAAGCAAAUGCAUUGUAUCUAAAUUGCUUUGGUAAUAUAUAUCACUCUCCUUUUUUGGUACGCAAACCGUGUGGGAGUACGUUAUCCACUCAGUAUUUGAUUAAUUUGCAAAUUUAAUGCAACAUAAAUACACUAGAAAGUAGAAACGGAUCCUAUACGGGGACUGAAUUUAAGAGGUAGUAAACGCUUGGAAAAGUAAAGAAUAAUUGUUGACCAAACUGAGACCCAAUUCGUAACGUUUUGUAUUAAUUAAAUUUUGGUUCACGAGUUUUUCAAGCGCAUAAUUAAUAUCAGGGCAAUUUCUUGGUCUUGUGUGUUUGAUCACUUGCAAAAGUCAACACGAUUCUCACUCUGAUUAAUUUGUAUUCUAUACGCUUUUGACCAAUCAGCACAUAUAUUAAUUGUGGCUAAUACUUUCCUGGAUUAUAUAUGUAAACAUAAUUUUUGGCAACGGUCAAUAAAAUAAAUAAAUCAUUAAUUGGUGUGUAAAAGGAGAGAUUAUUGCUUGAACCAGGUGUAUACACUGGGUCCUAAAAUUAAAGAAAGCCUGUGUAGAACCUAUUACUUACACUGUUUAUAUAUGUAAGUGGACCUAUGUGUUAUAUUUUAACUGGUGUGAUCUUAUUAUAUAUAAAUAAUUAAUAAUAAACUAAUUUCAUUAUGUGAUAUAUAGUAAAAUGAGAAGGUCACACCACCAAUAUGUAUUAAGUAAAAACUAAGCCUUAAUUAAUAUGACUGUAUUUUACAUUAGAAUUGGCUUUAAGUAAGUGCAAUGGACCUUGAUGGGGUCUUUUAACCUGUGCCUGUCCCUGUAUAUGUAGUUUGUACACCCUAUAAUAUAUUUCGAGCAAUAAAAAUACUACUUAUACACUUCAUACAUACCUAAGAAUUGAUACAAUUUUUUGAGAGUUGUAGUAAAAUAAGUUAAUAAAACAAGUAAAAUAAUAUAGUCCACAAGGCGAUUAGGAUGUAAGAUUUAUAUCUAUAUUAUAGAUAUAUUAGUAAUAGUAUAUUUUUUAAGUAAUACUAUCUGUACACUUAUAUAGAUGUAAGAUUUACUCCCUAGUCUGAAUUAACUCAUUUUUUUUCAUAAUUUUUGUAACACUAAGAAUUCAAAAGAGUUUUUAAAUCUUGGAAUAAUAGAGUGCAAGAUAUACGCCCUAUAAGGAAGUGCACAUAAAACAUUUUUCAUGUAGAUUGUGUGUGUGUAUAUAUAUACGUCUUUAAUUUUUCAUAUAUAAUAUGCAUUUAUAUAAAAUAUGAAACGUUUAUAGAUCGAGGAAACUAUACAUAUAGAACGUUAUAACACUGGCUAUGCAUGAACGUAGUAAAUAGUCUAUAAGCGUGUUGACCCCUUCGCCCCAUGCAGUGGUGCUCAGAGGUUCAGAGCCAUUAAAUGAGGGAGUUGGGUGGGAAAAGGAGAGGUUCUGUUUCUUUAUUCGUUGGACAAUAUAUUGGAUACCUCAGAACAUCAUUAUUCUAAUAAAAUAUUAAUGCAUUUAUAAAUAUACAUAUGUUAUAUAUGCUUAAACUGUAUAAACUGUGCUAGCAUACUUCUAAAAGUAUUCUUAAUUUAGUGGAGAUAGGUGAAAUAGUUGUAGAUUUAAGGAUUGAAAAUUAAGUUGAGAGUUUGUAAAUAAUAAGCUCAACUCUAAGCUUAAUUUGAGUAUAAACCUAUAUAUAAAGAAUCUUUACAUUAUCUGUGUUAAUGUAGUAUAUUAGUUGCGUAUGUAUAUAUUAUGAGGACAAGGUACGCAGGAGUACGUACGUUUAUUCUUAUACGAAAAUUAAAUGGAUUAAUAAGGGGGAGGGGGAGUUGGUUGAUCUCAGUAGUAAAAUUGGAAUCAGAAGCAACCACACCCCUCGGGCCCAUCAUGACAUUUGUGUCUAGGGUUUCCUUCAUAUAUAUAGCUAGCCAUAUAGCUGGCACCAUUAACACACACACAAAAUAAAUAAACAAACAAAUAAAUAAAUACAUAAAAAUAUGAAGUUUUAGUGUUAUGUUAUCUAAAAUAACUUUUUUAUUUAGAAAAACAGGCUUAUACAAGUGUUUAGAAAACAAGAAAUUAACGAUAGUUGUUGCUACAUAUGAGAGAGUAAUAUUACACAUGUUAAGAUCGAUAUCAUGCAUAUACAUGAUAUAUAUAUAUAUAUAUAUAUAUAGUUACAUGCAUGCUUUUAUAAUUGUUGAAUCUGCUUAAAUAUGAAAGGGGAAAGAUUUAAACUAAGACUGAUGAAAUUUUGGACCUCGUCUAAAUUUAAAGCUUAAGAAAAUUAAUUUAAUUGCAUGCGAUCGACUACACCAAUAUUUAUUAUUGAUAUUUAGUUUCAUUAAUUACAAACAAUUAUUGCAUUGAAGAUGCAUGCAUGUAAUUAAUCUCUUUGCAUUUAAGAAUUUGUGGAAAAAAAAAAAAGGAUGGCAUGCGCAAUUUCUUGUACUUACAUAUGGGUAUAUGUUAAUUUGAGGGUCCGAUAAGAUUCAUGAUGAAUCCAGUACUACUAAUUUCACCGAGUAACUGUUCUACUUAUAAGCAUAAUAAUUAAUACUGUUAAUCUUAAUAAUUAAAGGAUUUGACUACAUUGUGGGAACAAAAGAAGUAAACCACUCAUACCUCUUCACAUUGUGGAAAAGAAGUAAACCCCUCAUACUUCUCUCUCUCUCUCUCUCUCUCUCUCUCUCUCUCUCUCUCUCUCAAGCAAUAACACCAACCUAGCUAUCAAUAAAUGCAAUUGCACCCUCUCAUAUACUCAGCAAUAACUCCUCUUCACCUAUUCUCCCCCCUUUCUCCUUCCUCUUCCUCUUUCCUCUCCAUCCUUGUUCCUCUUCUCCUCCCCAUGAUCACCCCCUCCCACCCCCCCUUUAAUGGUUCAUCUUUUGCUUCCUUAGCCUCUUCUCAGAGACCAACCUAGCUAGCUAUACUUUCUUUAAUUUCUGCAUGCACCAACAGUUGCUUUCAUGCAUGCACUUUCUUCUAUUUAUUUUCUCUUUCACAAACAAAAAAAGAGAAGAGUUCUGAGAGAGGAGGAGAAAGAAUAAGAGAUCUUGGCCAAGAUCUAGGCUACUAUCAAGCAAUUUCUUAUUCUUUCCUUUAGAUUCUUGGUUGGUAUUUGCUCCUUUUUUGUAAGCCCAUUAACAAAGUAUAUACACACCUUGGAUGAUCACUAAACCUAAUUUGUCACCUGUCCCAGCUACUCUUCAAUAUUCCUUUUAGGAACCAUCAAAUUAAAGAUAUGAUGAUGAGAACAAGCAAAACACGUUUGGGGGAAUGAAGAGAGGAAGAGAGAUCAUGAUGAAGGUAGCUAGGUGCAUGAGAAAUUAGGGUUUGGUGGAGGCGAAAUAUGCCUGGAGGGAUCAUCAUGAAUCCAAUGAGACAUGUUCCCACAUCGAUGAUCGGAAGGAACGCCGGCGCCUUGUAUGGGUCUUCAUCGCCGCUUUCCCUUGGGCAGAUCGCAAGCGUAAACUCCUUUUAUGAUCUUCUAAUUCUUCUUUAAAUGUGUUUAACUUUUUGUUUAUUUUUAAGUGUUUGAAGUAUAUACAUCAUCUGAAAACGACUAGAAGAUGCAAGGGUGCAAGAGAGUCAAAGUCACUAUACAUUAAUUCCUGCACUACCCAUAACUCACAUGUAUGUUUUUACAUAUAUGGAGCCAUAGAGGCUGAUCUAUAUAUCAACAGUACAGUUUAUUUUACAUAUACAAACUGUAUUUUUUAUUCCUUUAUAUAUAUAUGUAUACAUCAUUCAAAUAUAUAUACCCAAGUUCAAGAUGUAGAUCUCAUAGUUUCUUCAACUCCCAUAUAUAAAUGCUUAGUUAAGGAUAUAUAUGUUGAGAACACUUUUAAUAACUAGACAUGCAUGCCAUCCAUAUAUAUAUAUAUAUAUAUAUAUAUAUAUACACCCUUUUCCUUUGAAAAAAAAAACAAAAAUUGGAAUGCCAUUACUAUCUUUCGAUUUUUCACUUGCCAAAAGCUUCACAAAUUAACCAUUCUUCUUCUUCUUCUUUUUCUUUUCUUAAAAAAAAAAAAAAAAUUUGUUGCAGCCAAACAUGUUGGAGGGGCAGCAACUUCCAGUACUCCAACACCAACACCACCAUCUUAUGGAGAUCCCGCAGCUGCAGGCGGUCACCGCAGAGAGCGAGUCGGUGCAGCCGGCUCUGGAGGAGGAGUUUGAGAGCAAUAAGUCGGGCAGCGAGAACGUCGAGGUCGAGGACGCCUUCGCUGACGAUCAGGACCCGAACCAACGGCCGAAGAAGAAGCGAUACCACCGCCACACCCAACACCAAAUUCAAGAGUUGGAGUCGUAAUGAUCGACGUCCAUCGACCUCCUCCUCGAUCAUUUUACUAGAAGAGCACAUUUUACUAUUUUAUUUUGACAUUUUACAAUUUGAUUUCUUUCUUAACUGGUAUGUUUACACGAAAAUAUAAAGCAAAUUAAGACUAACAACAUAACAUCCUCGUAAUUACUAAAGGAAAAUCUCUUCUAUGCUUAAUUUCUCUCUCUCCCUACACAUAAUAAUAGAUCAAAAGAGGAGGAAAAAAAAAACAUUGAUAAAAAAACCAAAAAAAGUUCUUGUCUGUGAAAUAUUUUAUCUUUUUGAUCAUGUUAAUAUUAAUCUCUACAGAUUUCAGAUAUUGUUUUCUUUCAUACAUAUGGAUUAACAUAUAUACAUAAUCAUGCAUUUUACAUCAUGCAACUUAGUUAAUUAAUACAUUAACAUCCUGUUGUUAAGAAUUUUCCAAUUCAACUAAUUAAUUAAUCAUUCAAAGGUUAAAAUGAUCAGGUUCUUCAAGGAGUGUCCUCACCCGGAUGACAAGCAGCGGAAGGAGCUGAGCCGAGAGCUCGGUUUGGAGCCCCUCCAAGUCAAAUUCUGGUUCCAAAACAAGCGCACCCAAUUGAAGGUCCAUCUCUUAUCAAAAUAUAAAACCCUAGCUACACACAAAAUUAUCAUAGAAAUAUAGAAUUAGGCUACUAUACUAUCUAUCGUACCGAGCUCCGGUACUAUAGUAUUUGUUUUCGAUUUUAGGGUGUUCAAAUCAACGAUCUACACCGUUAAAUAUGAUCUAGGGUAUAUGAAUUUCUUAGGAAUAAAAUUUUAGUUUUUUUCGAUAUCGUUUACUUAGUAAAUAAAUUAUAUCAAAAUGGACGGUGGAAAUUGAAUAAUCUUUAAAAUUUGAGCAUAGAACUUUUAAAUUCAAGAUCAAGAAUGUUAACCUUAAUUUAUAUAGUUUAAAGUAUUUUCUAUCAAAAUUUGAAGAAAUUUAGAUUCUUCUACACCGUUAAACUCCAAACUCGUCAUAAUAGUCAUUGAAAAUUGACAAUUUUGAAAUAGUUUGAUCAUAAAGUAAACUAUGUCGAAAAAAUAUAAAAUUUUAUUUCUAGAAACUUUAAAUACCCUAAAUCAGUUUUAACGGUGUGGAUCAUUAAUUUGAACGCCCUAAGAUCGAAAACCGACACUAUAGUACCAGAGCUCGGUACUAUAGAUAGUAUAGUAGCCAAGCUCUAGAAAUAUAUAUAUAUAUAUAUAUAUAUAUAUAUAUAUAUAUAGAGUUGAGCUGGAAUGCUAUCGAUAGCAAACGGGCUCCGUUGCCACCCAUUUGUUUUCGAUGAUGGAGCUUUCAAAUCGACGAUCGGCAUCGUUGAACAUAAUCUAUAUCACUUGAAGUAUUUAGAAAUCAAAUUUCAAAUCUUUUCGAUAUCAUUUACCUAAUGAUCAAAGAGUUUCAAAAUUAGUAAUUUUAAUGGUUGAUAUGAGGGGUUUUCUCGUUUAACGGUGUAAAGCUAUCCAAAUCAAUUGAAUUUUGGUUAGAAAAUUCUUUAAACUAUUUAGAACAAGAUCUAUACUCUCGAUCAUGAUUACAAAAUUUCUAUCAUUAUUUUUUAGAGGAUAUUCAUUUUCAGCCAUUCAUUUUUACGCCCACUUGAUGGACAAGAAAAUAAUAUCGAAAAAGUAUGAAAUUUAAUUUCUAGAUACUUCAAGUGGUAUAGAUCAUGUUCAACGGUGCCGAUCGUCGAUUUGAAAACUCCAUCAUCAAAAACAAAUGGGUGGCAACGCAGCCCGUUUGCUACCGAUAGUAUUCCAACUCAACUCUACAUAUAUAUAUAUAUAUAUAUAUAUAGAGUUGAGCUAGAAUACUCUCAAUAGCAAACUAGCCCUGUUACCAUCCAGUUAUUUUCGAUAAUAGAACUUCCAAAUCAACGAUCGGCACCAUUAAACAUGAUCUAAACCAUUUAAACUAUCUAAAAAUCAAAUUUCACACACUUUCGAUAUUAUUCUCUCAUCCAUCAAGUGAACACAAAAAUAAACAGAUGAAAAUAAAUAUUCUUUAAAAAAUGAUGAUAGAAGUUUUGUAAUCAAGAUCAAGAGUAUAAAUCUUAUUCUAAAUAAGUUUAAAAAAAUUUCUAACAAAAAUUCAAUUGAUUUGAAUAUCUUUACACCGUUAAACAAGAAAACAUAUAUUUCAUACCACUCAUUAAAAUUACAAAAUUUGAAAAACUUUGAUCAUUAGGCAAAUGAUGUCAAAAAAAUUUAAAAUUUAACUUCUAAAUACUUCAAGUAGUAUAGAUCAGAUUCAACGAAACCGAUCAUCAAUUUGGAAACUCCAUCAUCGAAAACAAAUCGAUAGUGAAAACGGAGUCUAGUUGCUACUACCGAGAGCAUUCCAGCUCAACUAUAUAUAUAUAUAUAUAUAGAGCAGGGCUGCUGUGCUUUUAGGAGCACGGAGGCCUUCGUGCUCCUGAGCUGUUUUCGAUGAUGGAGUUUCCGAAUCGACGAUUGGCUCCGUUAAAUUUGAUCUAGCACAUUUGAAGUUUCUAGAAAAUAAUUUUUGUGAUUUUUUGAUAUCAUUUACCUAGUGAUCGAAAGGAUUCAAAAUCCAUAAUUUUUAAUGGUUGAUAUCUGCUGUUUUCAAAUUUAACAGUGUAGAAGUAUUCAAAUCAGAUGAAAUUUUGAUACAAAAUUCUUUAUACUAUCUACAACAAGAUCAAUAUUUCUGAUCGAAAAUUUUAAUGCUAUAUCACCACUUUUUAUAGAAAUUUUAUUUUCAGCCGUUAAAAAUUAUUUAUUUUGAAUCAUUUCGAUUGCUAGGUAAAUGAUAUUGAAAAAUCGCAAAAAUUAUUUUCUAGAAACUUCAAAUACGCUAGAUCAAGUUUAACGGAGCCGAUCGUUGAUUCGGAAACUUCAUCAUCGAAAAUGGCUCAGGAGUACAGAGACCUCCGUAUUUCUAAGAGCACAGCAGCCCUACUAUAUAUAUAUAUAUAUAUAUAGAGUUGAGCUAUGAUACUUUUACAAGUAUCACCAUCAUGGUGCUAUUAGGUUUUAAGCCAUUGGAUCUACUUUUUGAUUAUUAAUAGCCAUUGGAUUAAACACUAUUCCACCUACCACCACCUACCACCACCUACCACAAUCAUCUCAACCUCACAUCCCUCCAUCCAAGGGCUAAAAACACACAAGUAUCACCCCCAUGAUACUUUUACAAGUAUUCUAGCCCUACUCUAUAUAUAUAUAUAGGGUCCGGCUACUAUCCUAUUAAUAGGAUUGGGACCCUUGUCCUAUCAAGUCGAUUUGAAUGAUCGGAACUUCAAAUUUAUAAUCGGCACCGUUGAAGUUGAUCUACACAAUUAGAAAUGUUUAGAAACCAAAUUUUGUAUUAUUUAAAAAUCAUUAUCAAGUUCAUCUUAAGAGUUGAAAAAUGAACGAUCAUAAAUGAAUAACUUUCUUAAAAUAGAGGAUAGACUUUCUCAGCUCGUAAUCAGAGUUAUCAAACAUUAUCUAAAUAGUAUAAAGAAUUUUCUAUCAAAAAUUCAAGCAAUUUGGAUUGUUUUACACCGUUAAACAAGCAAACGACUCAUAUAGACCGUCAAAAAUUGUCGAUUUUACGACACUUUGAUCACCAUGUAAACCAUUAUCAAAAUUUAUGAAAUUUAGUUUCUAGAUAUUUCAAAUACUCUAGAUCAACUUCAACAGCUCCAAUCAUCGAUUCGGAAUCUCGAUCAUCAAGAACAACUUGAUAGGACAAGUGCUCCUAUCCUAUUAAUAGGAUAGUAGCAUUAGCCUACAUAUAUAUAUAUAUACUAGUAAAAUGUACGUGCAAAUGCACGUAAUAAUUAUUACGCGAGGGUAAAAUUUUUUUUAAUAAAUAUUUAAUUUUUGGCCAUAUUUUAUAUGAUUGCUAAAUAUAUAUCUUAAAAAUUUAAAAUAAUAAUUCACGCUAUUAAGAAAGAUAUGCUUUGAAUGAUUAUUUAUGAAAAAUAAUAUAUAAUGCGAAAAUUACAAAAAAUAUAUUGACAUAAUAAAUGAAAUAUAAAGUUUGAAUAGCUAAAAAGUAUAAUUAAUAUUCUUUUAAAUAACAUCAAGCAGAAAAUUAGAAAUGACAUCUUCUCUGCAUCAUUGAUCCAAUAGCCAUCUUCUGUGCAUAAUUGAUGUCAAUAUUCUCGCUGCAUUAUGUAUCUUGAUGUUAAAGAAGGCUGCAGUAAAUGCCAAGAAAAUCAUAAAUUAUUUGGACUUAUAAAAAUUGGUAUGAAAAUUGUUAUUGCUAAAUAAUUUUUACGUACCUCCUUUUGAUCUCCUCAACUUCAGCAAUUUGUGGAUUGAUAAGUAUCUUCGUUGCGAAACUUGUUGACAAACAAACCCCUGAAUAAAAAAAAUAUUGAGUUAUAAUCAAAUAAUAAAUAUAUUAUAAUGUAUUAUUUAAAUAUAUAUAGAAAUGUACCUUUACGAAAAUCUACGUGCAGUGCAGUUGCAACUAUUAUAAGUUUUUUUUGUAUUGCAUCUUUCCACAUGCCUAUUCGGGUUGUGACAAGACUAUCCCACAAUGUUAAUCUAACGAACCAACGGCUGCAUAAUUAAAUAAAAAUAAAAUAUUUUUUAGUAAAUAAUAUUUUGAAAUAUAAUACUUUUUUUUUCUCAAAUAUCUUCUAAAAAGUUAAAGAAUAACAUACGAUUUAUUCAUAAUUAUAAUCUCUCUUUUUGGACGAUUGCCAUCGCGUCCUUUUAUAAACUCUGCCUUCUCCACAUGAACUAUCAUUCCUGCAACAUCUAUGACAAAAAAGAAAUUAUUAUUUCAAAUUAAGAUUUUUUAUUAAAAAUACUAAAUAAGAAUAGUGAAUAACAUACCAAUCAGAACUUUAUUGUUGAUGAGUUUACCCAAUUUCUCCAAAGCAACAAAUGAGUAUGCAUAAUUUGGAAAUUUUGCGAAACCUUCUGUAACUUCCUCAACUUUUGUAGCACUUGUGAUUACACAUUCGUAGUCAUUUGCUGUAAUUUUUAGUCCCGCAGUUGUAAGACGUACUCUUAUAUUAAAAAAUGUGUAGAUUUUACCCUCAAAAAUAAUUUUGUCAAGUCUUCCAACGUCAUUCCCGUAUACAAAUCCCUGAAUUUUAUAUCCCUAUAAUGAAAAUAAGAAAUAUAACAAUUAGAAUAUAUGGUUAACAUAUAAUUAAAGAUUAAUAUGAAAUUACGUACAUUUUCAUCAAGAAGUAAAAGUUGAAGCCGUUGUCUUUUUGUUCCAGGAUAUUCGAUAUCACACUUUAAAAGUAGCCUUACUCUUAUGUUGAACUGAUGCCGAUAAGGAUGUAGAAAAUGGAUUGGUGUGUAGUAAACAAUACUCAUCCUGUAAAAAACAAAAAAACAAUAAAAGUAAAAUUAAAAUUUAUAUAAUUAUAUGAAUAUAUGAGCAACAAAAUUUAAUAAUUAAGGUAUUCAAUUCAUUUAAGUGCAAUAAUUACCUUGAUUGGAUGCAAGAACCUCUUUAAAAACAAUAUUUUUUGUAUAGACUCCUUCGUGAUCCAUUUUUUCAUGUGGUUUUACUAAAAUUUUUGUAGUACUGCGCGAUAUCCCUCUAGAUAAAGCUACAUACAACUGACCGUGUGAAAACACUGGUUCCGGAAGAUAUACUCCGACAUUUGGAAUUGUUUGUCCUUGUGCUUUAUUUAUUGUCAUAGCAAAGCUCAAACGUACUGGAAAUUGUUUUCUUUUAAAUCUAAAAGGAAGAUUGUCAUCUUCUGAAGGACAUAAUGGAAUUCUUGGUAAAAAGACCCUUUUUCCACUGUGUUGCCCAUAAGCGAUCUCAGCAUCAAUUGCAUUUUUUUGGAACGCCUUACAAAUCAAUCUUGUUCCAUUACAUAAACCAUUUAUCGGAUCGAUGUUUCGCAAAAGGAUAAUAGGACAAUUAAUUUUAAGUGUAAGCUUAUGAGGUGGUAAACCACUUGGCAUCAGUGAAUUCAAAAAUUCUGUCGGAUAGUGAUUGUGAGUAUCGUCGUCAGCAACAUCAUAACUGUAAUAAACAAAUUCCGAUCCAGGAAAAUUCCGUAUUAAUUCAUUGUUUAUAUCAUCGACGUAUUCAUUCUUAGUUGAAAGUAUAGCUCGGCUUAUAAUAUAAGAAGAUAAAUUGGCAUUUUCUUUAAGAGAUGGGAAUACUGCGUCGAUUAACUCCUUUUUUGAACGCUCAUUAUUCGUAUACUUGAUCACCAUAUCAUUAGGAAGCUGAAUAUAGUCACCACAAAUAGUUUUUUCAACUCCAUCUCCAAUUCUUAAUAGAUACUGUGAAAACCACGGAUCCGACUUUGCUCUCAUAUUUUGAAUCAGUUCGAAUUUUUUUAGCGAAGGCCAAAUAUAAGAUGCCCUUAAACUGGAUUCAAUAAUCUCUGCUUUUGUCCCACGUCUUAUGACAGGAAGGACUUGUCUAAAGUCCCCUCCAAAUACCAUAAUCUUUCCGCCAAAUGGUGAAGUGCAUCCUAUUAUAUCUUGCAAUGUCCGAUCAAGCGCCUCAAAUGCAUGUCUUUUUGUCAUAGAAGCCUCAUCCCAAACAAUUAGUGUUGCUUGGCAUAAAAGCUUCGCAAUUCCACUUUGUUUAGUAAUGUGACAAAUGCUGUCUUCAUUGACUAUUAUUGGAAUUUUAAAUCUUGAGUGUGCUGUUCUACCGCCAGGCAAGAUAGCAGCUGCCACACCUGAUGUUGCUGUCGCGAUAGCAAUAAGCCCUAGUGAUCGUACUUUUGCCAACAAUGCUUUAUAAAGAAAAGUUUUUCCAGUGCCACCAGGUCCAUCUAUAAAAAAUAAUCCACUUUUUGAUUCACGGAUGUGACUCAUAAUUUCUUCAAACGCUAUCAUUUGCUCAGAGUUUAGAGAAUGUUGAGCAUUUAAGUGUUCUUCUUCAACAAUAAUUGACAAUUCGUCAUGCACUUCCCUCACCUCAUCUAUAUAAUAAUCUAUGUCAUCUAAAAUGGGUGGUAGAUCAUACAUGAAAAUCUUCUUUCCCAUUGAUUCCAGAAAGAUUGAAAUAUCACGAAGCACAAGUUGCUCGACUCUAAUAGAAUCUAGAUUACCCUGUCGAAAAUCCUCCGAUAUUGAGUUGAAAUGCAUAGUGUAUAAUGCACGUAUAUUUGAUGGCUCGCAAUACACUAAAAUUGUUGCAAAUAGUCGUCGAAGUCCUUGUGGAAAUUGAAAUGUUGAUGCCUCAGCUAAACAUUCAGAAAUACUAUCAUCAGUAUCUAUAAGUCCACGUUUUUCAGCCGAUUCUCUGAAGGUGUUACAUAUUACACCAUUAACAGUUAAAAGAUCAAUAUAUGAUGUAACUCCUCUAACAUGAUUUAGUAAAAUCCUUAAAUAAUAUCGCUCUCCUUCCACUGGGUUAGCAGCUACUACUCUACCUAUUUCGUACUUCUUCUGUCUUCUUUUCCAAUAUUUUCCAGUGCUACACCACACAUAAUGUUCUGGAAACUCUCGAUAUAAAUAAUUCCUAGCUUCUGGAUCAACUAAAUUCAUUCGAAAGUAUUCGGUCAACAUUGUUUUCGAACUGUUCUCCCUGUCAAUUACUCUUUGCAAAUCAUCAAAAUCUUUAAAUGUCACAAAAUGCAUAUCAGGUAAAUGUAAUUGUAAUGACUUUACGGGAGGAUACAUUUCAUUUAAGUUGAAUUGAUAAAUUCUCCACAUAGCCUCCGGCGGAGAUACCCAACGAACAUCUCGAAAUAAAUGAACCUCAUUAAUUUCAAUGUUACUCGAUGAUCCCUCGACAUUCACUGCUCCCCUGUCAUGACCUUUGUAUAUGUACUUGAAUAGAUACUUAACGGCUUUAAUACUUGAGCAUAUUUCAACAUUAAUAUGACAAUUGUAUCGCAUUAGUAAAUAUGGAUUGUACGGUGAGACCCAUCUGUUAUCAAGAAUGGCACCUCUUACUUUUACUCUACGACCAUUUUUUCUCCUUCGGUAUAUAGGAUAUGAAUCCUUUCCUUGAAUAGUAUUCUCAGUGAAUUGUUUAGGGUACUGAAAUCUGCAUCUCUCAUGCAUGCGUUAUGUGGCUUCAAUGCUCCACAAGGUCCAUGGAUCAUGUGCUUGACAACUAAUUGGUGGAGCAAAGGAUAUUUGAUUUGAUCGGGUAUUUCAGCAGACACAAUUUUAUCAUACUGAUCUGGUGUUGUUAUUUUGUUAUGAGAGGCUAAUAUAAUCAAAAAAUGUGCAUGGGGCAAUCCACGCUUUUGAAAUUCUAUUACAUGCACAUGCGCAGCAACCUGACCGAAUGUAUUUCUUUUGAAUAAUUGGUCUUUUAAGUCUUCAAGUUUAGCUCUAAAAAUUCUUGAAGUCAAAUCUGGACGAUCUUGUGCUAGCUCUCCAGGCCUCAGUUCUGCUUUAAUUUCAUCCCAAUCCGGAUUGCAUGUCAUUGUAAGAAAUAUAUCAGGUUUGCCAUAACGUUGAACUAAUGCCAUAGCAUCUAGAUAGCGCCGACGGAUAUCCCGAGGACCACCUAUAAAAGAUGAGGGAAGUACAAUUCGUUUGCCAGCCAUACUACCACGCACUUCACCAGAUGCUACAGUAUCAACAAUGCCUUGAUACAAAUCGGCUCGAAUUCUUAUUUGGUCCUUAAUAAUGAAAUCCAGUCUCGUUGACUCAAUCUUAAUAUACAUAUCAACUACAAACUGUUGUAAUAAUCUUCCAGAUAAUAACAAUAUAGAUUUCACAGCAGGACGAAUUUGAAGCCUAAAACAAUAGUACUCUCUAAUAGAAAUCUGUUUCCUGUAACGUUUACCAACUCCUGUAAAAAUUAGUAAAUUUAGUUAUAUAUUUAGUUUUUCAUUUAUGAAAGUUCUUUAGUCUAUACAAAUUAUCAAGAAAAAAAAAGUACAAAGUAAUUAAUCACCUUCAUUAUCAUCUAUAAUGAUAUGUUCACUUUGCUGUGAUGUUAGAGUAGUAAUACUCCUGCAGUCUACAUGGUUUGUAGAUGAUAUCCCUUCUCCUGCAAUAGGUAUAUCUGGUUGCCAUCCUGGAUCUCCAUUUGGAAAUAAUAGAGGGUACGAUAAUGGAUCAUAACAUCCAUAAUAUGGUUGAAUGAAAUGAGUAUAGUUGGAUCUAUCGUAGAUAACAAUGCUCCGCUUGUAAAAUUGAGGACAUCCAUUGCCUUCCACCCAAAUAGCUGCAACUUGCGAUGCAGUAGGUGCAUUAUAUACUCUUUGAUCUAGUUCAACACUUGUGCUUAAAGUAAUCCUAUAAUUAUCAAGUGUUCCAAUGUCUCCAAGACUCCUAAAACUUGCAACAUAUGGAUUUGUAGAUAGAAUGCGCACAAGCUUGCUAACCAUUUUGUCAUCAAGAUAAGAUGUUCUUUGCAAUCUAUGAUUGAUGUCAUAAUCAGUAUCAUAAAAGUAUAAUUGCAUGUACUUUGGCCCAUCUUCCUUUGGAACUAACUGAUCCAAAAAGUGAUAUAUUUGUCCUUGUGCACGAAAAGUGUAUAUACCACCUCGCAUAGAUGCACAGUCUUUAUCAAGUCGAACCCCCAUUGACGUGAAGGAAAAAUGAUUAUUAUAUCUUCGGAUAUUGCUUCUAAAUUGAGUUGAUUCACUGCUGUGAGUUGUGAAAAGUUGGUAUAGUUCAUCCGGAACUGUUGGAUGCACUAAAUUAACCUUUCCGUUCAUGCAACAGAAUGCUGGAAACUCAUAUUGAAAUUUUUUUGCCCCACAAUAUACGCAAUUUCGUUGUGUCUUCAAAAUAUGAUGCUUUGUGGGUAAGUUAUGAUAUACAGAAUAGUCAAUACCAUUAUCCUCGCAGCCACCAGAGAGAUUUUGUUCACUUUCAACACUGUUGGAAUUGACAUCAAUGACGGCUAUGUCGGGAUAUUCAAAACCCAAUCCUAUCAAAAUCAUUUAAAAUAAUUAGUUGUUAUACGCAAAUAUAGUUGGAUUUUUUAUUUAUAUUAUAUUACCUUCAGUUGCACUGUCAUUUGUAUCAACUAAAUAGUUAAUUCCUUCGUCACAAUCAUCUUCAAAUUCAUGAGCACUAUCUGUGGAAUAUAAAAAAUUAAGUCUAAAUUAUUAAUAAAAUUAAAUAAUUAUAUGUUAUAAAUUUAUAUAUUGCAUGAAAAAAGUUACAAUACCUUCAAGGGCAAGGCUUGGUUUUUCUAAAUGACUGCUAUUUGAUGCUUCAAGUGACACGCCAGAUUCCCCAAUUUGAUUCUCCAAAGGCACACUUAUAAAAGUAUGACAGCUUUUAUAAGUUUCGCGCCUUUUGUUACGCCUCAUUUCUCUUUCUUCAUUUGUCAUACUUGUAUAUCUCUCGCGAUUAUACAUACGUUUCUUCUCAGCAAAACUGACUGCAUCAAAUUAAUAUUAUAAUAAAUCAUUGAAUGCUAGUGAUAUAUUUGGAAUGUAAUAUUCAUAAUUUCUCUUCUCUAUUACCUUCUGUCCUGGUCUCAUUUGUACUAUUUUCUGAUUCACCUAUGAUAACUGAUUCAGCAUUAUUCCUUUCAGCACGUAGAUUACGUCUCCUUCUUAGUCUAUCUUCUUUUUCUUCAACUGUCAUCCGAGCAUAUCUUUGACGAUUAUAUAGACGUUUUCUUUCAGCAGGCGCUACUACAAUAAAUAUAAUUUUGUAUAAUUAAUAAAUAUAUAUACCAUACUAAAGAUCAUUAUAUUAUAAAGAGCUCUAAUCAUUAAAUAUCCAAUAAUAGGUACCUUGUUUCCCUUUAUUGUUAUCUUGCCUACUCCCUUCCAUUUGUUUGAUGAUCCUAUAAAUAAUUCAUCAGUUGGGAUUGAAUUAUAAGAUAAUGAUAACUUUUAUUUAUGUUAAUAAUUUAGAAUUUAUGCGUUUGUCAUAUAUGUUGCCCUAGGAUGGAUUAAUGAUCGGUGAAAACCUAAUAUGAACAAAUUGUGGGGUCUGGGGACUAAGAUGCUAAAGCUUAAAAGAUGGGAUCAGAAUAGAAACGACAGUCAAAAGCCGAUUUUUCGCUGACAUGGUAUGUUCCUAUACACGUUAUGAUCAUCGGAUAGCGAUGAUCAUGAAUAUAAAAUAUGUUAUAAGUAUUAGGGGAGAAGGACUUCCCGUUGCUUUGUUAUUUGGAUAAAUCCAUGCAUGAUUGAUGUUGCAUCGUGAAGAACCAUUCAUCAUGAUCAAGGAAUUAAAAAAAAUCAAGAAAAAAAAACAUAGACCAUCCAUAAUGUAGAGACCGGGAAUUUUAGCUGAGGCUUGUCGACAGCUCUGGAGAGUGUCGGGUCAAGUCCGGGUCGCGUUGGCGCGAAGUGGACGCCAAACGGGCCUUGUGGGAACUUGAGAGCAGCGUGUAUCUUGAAGAUCUGCGAAAUAGCAGAUUUUCAGUGAGCUGUACCGGUACACUUUGACAGGUAUGGUGCUGUUUGACUUUUUCCUCUCUAGUCUUGUCACCACUUUUCCCCUUACCUUAAAAGCAGGGAGGAGAGAGGGGGGAGGGCUUCUUCCUCCUCUGCUGUGCUUCUUCCUCUUCCCCCUUGGCUGAGUAGAGGUGGUGGAGGAGCUCAAGGGAGAAGCUCAAGCUUCGUCGACGACGCGCUGCGGAGCGGAUCGAGGGUGCUUUCAACAUUGUGACGCUGCGAGGAGGCCGGGCGACUGCUGUCCCUUACCAUCCUCGACGUGGUGCUGCUCCCAGGGCGGUUGUCGAGGUGAGUAGGCCACCGAAAUCCCUUCAGUUACUUCAAACUACUCCAUUAUCGAGCUUCUCUGCUGCUGCUGCUGAUUCCAGUGUCGACUGUUGGCGUUUUGGCUUGUUCUCUGUGUAGGGGCGUCGGAUCGCGGUGAUUCUUGCGUCAUUGGAUCCGGGACUUCGAGACGAAUCCNAUAUAUAUAGUUGAACUGGAAUGCUGGUAGUAGCAAAUAGACUCCGAUGUCACUCAUUUGUUUUCGAUGAUGGAGUUUCCAAAUCGAUGAUCGAUAUCAUUGAAUCUGAUCUAUACUACUUAAAGUAUCUAGAAGCUAAAUUUUAAAUUUUUUUGACAUCAUUAGCCUAAUGAUAAAAAUUUUUCAAAUUUUGUAAUUUUAAGAAGUAAUAUGAAAUAUAUGUUUUCUUGUUUAACGGUGUAAAGAUAUUCAAAUCAAUUGAAUUUUGGUUAAAAUUUUUUUAAAAUUAUUUAGAAUAAGAUUUAUACUCUUGAUCUUGAUUAAAAAACUUCUAUCAUCAUUUUUUAAAGAAUAUUAAUUUUCAUCUGUUCAUUUUUGUGUCCAAUUGAUGGAUGAGAGAAUAAUAUCGAAAAAAUAUAAAAUUUGAUUUUUAAAUAGGUGGUAUAGAUCAUGUUCAAUAAUACCGAUCGUUGAUUUGAAAGUUCUAAUAUCGAAAAUAAAUGGAUGGCAACAGAGCUGUUUGCUACUAACAGCAUUCAAGCUCAACUAUAUAUAUAUAUAUAUAUAGAGAGAGAGAGAGAGAGAGAGAGAGAGAGAGAGAGAGAGAUGCUGCAUGUAAUGUUUUAGUCUUAAGCUCGGCUUAUCUUGUAUGUCUUAUAUAUUCUUUCACUAACUAAUGUACGAUAGUUGCAUGCAUGUUCUCUUCUUGUUUCGUGAUAAAAAUAAAUAGGCUCAGCAAGAGCGGCAGGAGAACGGCCAUCUGCGUGCCGAUAACGAGAAGCUGCGGGCGGAGAACAUGAGGUACAAGGAGGCCCUCGGCAAUGCUUCGUGCCCCAACUGCGGCGGCCCCGCCUCCCUCGGCGAGAUGUCCUUCGACGAGCACCACCUUCGCAUCGAGAAUGCUCGCCUAAGGGAAGAGGUAUUAUAACAUAAUUAUACACACGCUCACAUACGUAUACAGAGAGAGAGAGUUCAUCUGCUAUACUAUUGACAGUAUAUAAAGUGUUUACUAUUAAUAUUUCUAUCCUUAGAUUAUUACUAUUCUACCAACCCAUACUAAAUCCUAGACAUUCAAAGGUCAAAAAGUUAAUAGUAAACACUACUUCCAUACUAUCAAUAGUAUUCCAGCCACAUUCUAUAUAUAUAUAUAUAUAUGAAUUAGGCUGGAAUACUAUUAAUAGUAAAACGCUUUUUUACUAUCAAGUUUUUAACCUUUGAUGAAAAAUUGCAGGGUCAUAAUUUUGUUUUUAUAUAUAUAUGCACUAUAGUUUUAUUUUUACAUAAUUUUGUUUAACACUGUGUAUAUAUAUUGGAUUGGAUGUCUCGAUGUCGUCCAAGAUUGAUAGGAUAUCGGCAAUAGCAGCAAAGUACGUCGGGAAGCCGAUAGCGUCAUACCCGCUGAUCCCCGAUUCAUUCUCGUUGCACUCGCCGUUAGAAUCGUUUACUGAUCAUCAUCAUCAGAUGCUCGGCGGUGGGGAGAUACUAAGGAGCCAUUCAGAGAUCGAGAAGCCGAUGGUUAUCGAGCUCGCGGUUGCUGCCAUGGAAGAGCUCAUCAGGAUGGCUCAGCUCGGUGAGCCGCUCUGGACGCUGGACGGACGCUGCACGGAGAAACUCAACGAAGAAGAGUAUGCGCAGAAUUUUCCGAGAGGUAUCGGGCCGAAACCGUUCGAUCUCAAGUCCGAGGCGUCGAGGGAGACCGCGGUAGUUAUAAUGAAUCAUAUCAACCUUGUUGAGAUACUAAUGGAUGUGGUAUGAACAAGUUUUGUUUCUUAUUAGAACUUUAAAGCGGAUUUUAUGGCCAAUUUUUCGAUCACCUUUUACGUUUGUAACUUCGCAGAAUCAGUGGCGUACAAUUUUCUCUAGUAUUGUCUCGAGAGCUACUACUUUGGAAGUGCUAUCAACAGGAGUUGCAGGCAACUACAAUGGAGCAUUGCAAGUGGUAUAGAUUCUGAAUUAAUCUCUUCAUAAUUUAAUGUUCUUAAUCCUUGUUAGUUCAAAGUAGUCCAAUAUAUAAUUCUCCUUUUCAAAUGUUUAACUUAGAACAUGGAUCGAUGGAUCAAACUAAAAUCUAGAAAAUUCAUUAGAUGUCGGCAGAGUUCCAAGUACCGUCCCCGCUCGUCCCGACGCGAGAGAGCUUAUUCGUGAGGUACUGCAAGCAACACGCAGACGGAACCUGGGCGGUGGUCGACGUCUCCUUGGACAGUUUACGCGCCAAUAGCCCUGCAACGCUUUGCCGACGGAGGCCAUCGGGCUGCUUAAUCCAAGAAAUGCCAAAUGGUUACUCCAAGGUAACUGCACCAACUUAUCUUAAAGCUAAUUCUUCUUUGAUCAUAUAUACGCUACUCUCAUCCUUUGAACUUUACUGCUAUUAUUUGAGUUAUAACUAACAUGGCACAAUUUGAGUGUGUCUAGGUGAUCUGGGUUGAACAUGUUGAUCAAGUGGAUGACAGGUCUGUGCACAAUAUAUACAAGCCCUUAGUGAACUCAGGACUCGCAUUCGGGGCGAAGAGAUGGGUUACUACCUUGGAUCGGCAGUGCGAGCGUCUGGCGAGUGUGAUGGCGAGUAAUAUUCCCUCCGGCGAUAUCGGCGGUAAUUGUUUACUAACCAUCUUGUUCAUUUAACUAAAAAUUUUAGUAACUAAUUGCACCAGCAGGGGCAUCCAGAACAUUUUAGGAUGUUUCAUAUUGGUCCAAUUGAGUCUCCAAGCUUCGAUUUUGAUUGCAAUUUUACCCUUUUCCACUAAAUUCCUUGUGAUUGCAAUAUGAGUAAGUUAAAAAGUUGGUUAUAUGGUAGGUAGUUGGAUAACAGUAAUCAUAUGAACAUUUGUCUUAUUUGUCAGAAAAUUUUAACAGAAAACAUAUAAUUACACCAGAAUACAAAGUUUAGAGAUCAUAUAGCAAUCAUUUACAUGUUGAGGACCAAACAGAAACUGCAUUAAAAGGUCGAGAACUAGAAAACUGAGAAUUGAAGUAUAAGAUAUUUUGGUUCAUGCAUACCUGUGUGUGUUUGCAGUUAUAACAAGCGCGGAAGGGAGGAAGAGCAUGCUGAAGUUGGCAGAGAGGAUGGUCAUAAGCUUCUGCGGGGCAGUGACGGCCUCGACGACCCAUCAAUGGACGACGCUAUCAGGGAGCGGUGCCGAGGAUGUGAGGGUAAUGACGAGGAAGAGUGUUGAUGACCCCGGUCGGCCUCCUGGAAUUGUUCUCAAUGCUGCCACCUCCUUCUGGCUUCCCGUAUCACCGAAGCGGGUCUUCGAUUUCCUCCGCGAUGAGAGCUCUCGGAGUGUGGUAUCAUCUGUUCACCUCCCCCCUCCUCCCCUUCUCUCACUCCCUCUCUAUCUCAAGUUGAUCAACGAGUUCCGUAUGUUAGCUGUAUGAAAAAACUGUUAGUGCUUAUUCAAAUAGAUUUGGUAAAGCAGUACCUCUAUAGAAGUUCUGGUCAGGCCAAACAAGCUACUAUUCUCUGUCAAUUUAAACUUUUUCUAGAGAAAUUGGUUGUUUGAGAUCAUCCAAGUCUCUCGCUUAUAACUGCAUGUGCAUGCAGUGGGACAUCCUCUCCAAUGGCGGCGUUGUUCAAGAAAUGGCUCACAUAGCUAAUGGCAGAGACCACGGCAAUUGCGUAUCUCUCCUCCGUGUCAAUGUGAGUUUACGAUAUUCUACAAAUCGACAAAAAUUCUCACACUCUUUCCUUGUAUGUUGGUUUUCCUUACACCUCUACUAUUCCAUUCCUCAACAUAACAGAUCUCUUUGGAAUGCUACAUACACUUUUGUCUAUCUCUAGUAUCUCUACUAACUGAACACACAUUAUUGGUAAAUUGCUAUCAAAAUGUAGAGUGUGAACUCAAACCAGAGCAAUAUGCUGAUACUCCAAGAGAGCUGCACCGAUCCGACGGGAUCAUACGUGAUAUACGCACCAGUGGAUGUCGUGGCCAUGAAUGUUGUGCUGAACGGCGGCGACCCCGACUGCGUCGCACUCCUGCCAUCAGGCUUUGCCAUACUUCCUGACGGGCCCUCUGCUGUGCCCGGUGGCACCACCGUAGAGGUCGGCUCUAGCGGGUCUCUUCUGACGGUAGCAUUUCAAAUAUUGGUCGAUUCAGUUCCAACCGCGAAGCUCUCGCUCGGGUCGGUCGCAACAGUUAACAGCCUCAUUGCGUGCACUGUCGAGAGGAUCAAGGCUGCGGUGUGCGGUGAGAGCUGACGGCCGGUGAAUCUGAGAGAGGUUAAUGACCGAAUGGUGAGUUAAUUGAGGUAGCACUACAAUCCUUUUUGAGUAAUGGUUUUGCAUCAAGUUCAACUUCUACUCUCUUUGUUCUCUAACUUUUUUCAUUCUUUCCUUUCUUUUUCCCUCUUUCAUUAACAGGAGUUGGGGAAUGAUUUAGAUCAUAAAAGUGGCGAGUCAAGAACGCACCUCAGACUCUCCUUGCCAUGUGGUGUUGGCUAUGCAUUGUUUGCAUCUCUCUCUCUCUCUCUCUCUCUCUCUCUCUACACCACCACCACUAUGCAAGGGGUGUUGGUUCGGGUAUUGACUUUCCCUCUCUCUCUCUCUAAAAGUGCUUCUACCUACAAGUUUUCUGAGGCACCUCUCUAUCUAGUUUCCUAGAUCUGUUAUUUGUUCUUCUUUUGUAAGUGUUUUCCCUUGAAGUGAUAGUUGAGAAAUACUCUGUUGUUAGUUUAUGUGACUACUUUGGCUCCCAUCUCGUGAAGAUCAGGUGUUCCUAGAUCAGCAUGCAGUUAUAUUGUUAUCUCGUUAUUAAUAUUAUCCGGCAAUUGGCUCUAAUAAAACACCCUCGUAGGAAAUGCGUGCAAAUAAAUGAGAUUUCCAAAGGCACUUUGUAGGAGUAAUUGCAUAAUUUCACAUAUCUGCAGAUUUUCAAACUUCAAAGUAACGGAGGAGACAACAUAUGUACAUAGCUAAAGCUUUCCGGUUCCAAGUCAACUUCCUAUAAUACACUACUGGCUAUAGAAACUAUUCAAAACGUUAAGAAGAAAGUAUCAAAACUAUUGUUUAUUCCUCAUUGUGUUUUUUAAGUCAAAAGUUGGACAUAGAACAAGAUGGUACCCAACAGUAGUACAAACCAACAUUGGCAUGAUGCUGAUAUUCCCUCUCUAUAUUCGAAAAAUGGGAAUUAAGAUCCUAUGCUUAGAGUUGAAGGUGCUUUAUAGCUGUUUGCACAUCCUUAUCCCCUCGGCCGCUGCAGUUUAGUACAACCUUUGUCCCAUUCGGUAGAGUCGGGCAGAGAACUUCCAAGUAGGCCAAUGCGUGAGAAGUUUCUAAUGCUGGGAUGAUGCCCUCCAAUCGAGAAAGCCGCUUGAAAGCUGAGUACAAAACAUAUUGAAAUAUGAUACUGGAAAUACUUCAAGAACAGUCGGAUCAAUAAAAUCAUAUUGAAAUAUGAGCCAGUAACCACACAUAACAUCUAAUAAGAGCUGCAGAGGAUAGUCUCAUUUUACUGUAUUUGGUUUCUGAUGGAUCCUUCCGCUCCAUAAUAUCACUACUUAUACAGAUUUUCAUGUUGGUUACUAGCCGUGAUGCUAUUUCACAAAAAGAACCUUCACCAUAGCUGUUCAUUCUUUUUGAGUGAACUUGAAGCUCAUUCAAGUUCACUUGAUAGUUUGCAUUCUUCUAUGAAAUACUUUUGCUUCACAGAGAUAACAACUCACGGUAGAAGCGUAACACAUGAAUGUUCAAUUUCCCAAUGGAACAGGUCAGGAGUAAAAAACAUUAUGUAACCACAAGCAAUCAAUUGUCUGACUCAUUGGGAUAGCAACUAAAGUUUGUGUGACAGAGGUUAUAGAAAAAAAUAAUUGCUCAUAGUCUAACCUUCCAAGGCCUCAUGAUCAGUGAUGCUAUAGUACUCUGCACGCCCAAUAUCCUUCAAGUAACUGUGCUCUGGUCCAACACCCGGGUAGUCCAAACUAUCAAUAAAAAAUGAAGAAGAAGAAGAAGAAGAAGAAGAAGAAGAAGAGAGGUUAGACAUAAUUUUCCAAUUCCCAACCAGGAUAACAAACAAAAUCAGAAGAACCGUAAGGAAAUUAGAAACUUUUAUAACUGACCCAGCACUUAUCGAAUGAGGCUCAACUAUUUGUCCAUCCUCAUCUUGCAAUAAAUAACUCAUUGCCCCAUGCAGAACCCCUACUUCACCUUUUGUUAAGGUCGCGGCAUGCUUCCCACUAUCAAGUCCAAACCCAGCAGCCUCCACACCAAUUAAUCUAACGUCUUUAUCAUCGACAAAUUCAUGAAAGAGUCCAAUCGCAUUUGAACCUCCGCCAACACAAGCAACCAAAACAUCGGGCUUGCCACCCCACUUUUCCAUCGCCUGCUUUCGAGUCUCCUUGCCAAUAACGGCAUGGAAUUCUCUGACCAUCAUAGGAUAUGGGUGUGGACCUGCAACAGAGCCCAAAAUGUAAUGGGUCGACUCCACGUUGGUCACCCAGUCCCUUAUGGCCUCUGAGGUGGCAUCCUUCAGUGUUGCAGUCCCAGAAUGGACAGCUCUUACCUGCUUAGAAGCCAACAUUACAUAGAAGUGAGACAAAAAAUCCUCAGACAUCCCAUGAUUUUCGCCGCCACAAUUACUCGAAUGAAGGCAUCCGACGAAUACAUAAGCAGCAACUGAUAGCAAAAACCAUAGACCUUGAAUAAAUUGCUAAGAAAUGCAAAUGCAUUGGAAGUUCAAGAAGGGAAAACAGUCCAAGCCAAACAUACAUCAUAUAAAUAAAUAAGAAAUUUUAUCCCGUACCGACCUCUGCCCCGAGAAGCCUCAUCCUGAAAACGUUAAGGGCCUGCCUCUCCAUAUCUUGAGCACCCAUGUAAAUUACGCACUGCAAACCGAAUCUCGCACAUACAGUCGCAGUGGCAACACCGUGCUGACCAGCUCCUGUUUCAGCUAUGAUGCGCUUCUUUCCCAACCUCUUUGCAAGCAAAGCUUGCGCUACAGCAUUGUUGAUUUUGUGGGCGCCGGUGUGGUUAAGAUCUUCCCUUUUCAAGUAUAUUUGCGGGCCCUCACCGUUGGCACGUUUAUAAUGUUCUGUAAGGCGUUCCGCAAAGUACAGCGGGCUCUCACGGCCAACGUAGUCUCUAAGAAUACCAUCCAAUUCUUUCUGCACCAUGGGAAGUCCAACUAAAAGAUUAAAGAAAAACUGAACCGACGGCUAAAUCAGGGAAGCAUGAGAGUUUGAAACAUUCAUAUAAACAAUACUGGUAACAGAACAAUUAGACAACAGUAAAAUAUUUGUUUUUCUGAUGCUUGCUGAAGGCUAAAGCUGCUAACAUGCCGAAAAGAUUAAUUUGAUCAAUCAACAAAUGGGCAGCUACAGAUGAUUUGUAAAAAUUUAGCUAUCCUCGAUAUUGGUUUGUUAAAGCUAUGUAUACGGGGAAAUCAUUAACAAGAAUAAUCUCGCUAUUUGCUCAUCAAAUUAUUUACCCACUAUCAAUAAAUGUGAAACACAUCUACUAUUUCAUCCUAAAGCUAUGUACGUGGUAAAUACGAAGCCUGAAGCUUUUUCAGUUGUUUAUAAUCUUCGGCGGACGUAAAAUUAAGCAGAGCGAGAUCAAAAUAAUUAGCAAAAAAAUCAAAAAGAUGCAAACUUUAACCGAUCAAAGAGCUAAAAACGAAAACUUUGACCACCAUUAGGAAUCCGAGCACGAAAAUCGACACGACCUGAAACUCAGCGUCCUUGGAGAGGGAUCGAAACGCCUCCUCGAGCUCGGCUAGAGCGUGCAUUAGGGUUUCGGGGACGUACUUCCCGCCGAACUUCCCGAACCUUCCGAACGAGUCCGGCCUCGCCGCCGCCGCCGCCUCCACGGCGGCGGGCUCCCGCGUGAGCGUAUAGGCGACGGAGACCGGGGGUCGCAUCGCGGUGGCGCACCGCCGCGGGAGGCGGAGCUCCGCUGGGAUCGUCCGGGGGAGGAGGAAGGAGGAGAAUGAGGAGGAGAAGGCCGAGGGCUUGGAGAGGGUAGGGUUAGGGCUCCUGAGAGCGGAGGAGGCCAUGGAGAGGGAGAGGAGGGGGUUGUGGUCGAUUUGGUGGGUCACUCCUCGUGGUGACCAAAUAAAGAAAAUGGUACAUAUUUCUCUCAAUUUUUUUUUUUUUUUCAAAAAAAGGGUCCAUGUGACACGAUAGAAUUGGGAAUAAGAGUUAGAUUACCGUCAUGUAAGAGUACCUAUAUCUUCAUGGGUGUAUCCUAAUCAAGAUUUUAAGUGCCCGUCGGCACGAGUCGUAUCCAUCGUGCCGUACCGUGUCAAUAAGAUACCGACACGAUAUAGAUCCCGUGCCGAUGGCACAGUUCAAAACCCUCUAUUUUUUAAAUUAAUAAGUAAUUUCCUCAAUAAAGUUCAAAAGAUGUGAUAAAAAGACAUAAUAAAUAAUUAGAAUAUUUUAUUGCUAAAAAAAUUAAAUAUUUCAUAUUAUUAUAUGUCGGCACAUAAAAAUUUUUUUGACCGGCACGCAUCGGCACGACUCAGCACGCACCGUGUCGUACCGUACCGGCAAGUUUCCGGCACUACCCCGUGCUACGGCACUUAAAUCCUUGAUCCUAACCACAUUUUUUGCAGUGACGUGGCGGGGUGAGGUUACCGGGAGUAAUUGCACUUGUAUUUCGCUGAGCUGGACGUGGUUUGACCCUCCGAAUCUAGACCAACAUUGCAUGGACCAUGUCUAUAGACCGUGGACUCUAAACUUACAUCUUAUGCGACUUGUUAAAUAUCGUUAAAUUUGAUAUAGCGACCAUAUUCAAUGAAUAAUUGAAUACACAAUUUUGUGUACACGAUUUAGAGCUUAUUAAAAACCAAAAAAAUCACUUACUAUCCUACUUACAAAACUGGUUCAUGGUGGACCAGGUUCAGGGAAUUUCCCCCGGCAUUGCGUAAUGCGUUCGUUCCCCCACCGUUCAACACCCGAACCAGAUAGUAAUAUGAAUUUCUUCCAGGGAUCUAUUUGCAAAUAUUCAUUUCAAAAACGGAGGAAGCAAAGGGGGUCUCUCUUUACACCAUCCAUGAACAUAACAAUAACCCGCGCCAAAUCCACCACUCACUUCUCCAAACUCGUCCACAAUUCCAAUCCCAAAUCGAACCCUCACACCUCACUCAAUCUUCACACUUCCUGUUCAAACCCUAACACGAAACCAUCUCCCACUUACUCCUCUCUUCUCCAGCUUUGUAUCGAUUCCUUCUCCAAAAGAGCAGGUAGAUCCCUUCACGGCCAUGUUUUAACAGCUGGGUAUGGCUUAGGUUUGCAUUUGAGCACCAAAUUUGUGAUCUUUUACUCGAAAUCUGGAGACACCGACGCCGCUCGAAGGGUGUUCGAUGAAAUGCCCCAUAGAAGUGUUGUUUCAUGGACCGCGAUGAUUUCGGGGUACUCGCAAAAUGGAUUUUCAGAGAAAGCUCUGAACUUGUUCUAUGUAAUGCACAAAUCGGGUAUCGGAGCGAAUCAGUUCACAUAUGGGAGCGUUCUGAGGGCCUGUUCUGUAAUGGCUUGUGUUAGAAGUGGCAAGCAGAUUCAUGGGUGCGUGGCAAAAAGCAGAUUUGUAGGGGAUAUCAUUGUGCAGAGUGCUCUAAUGGACAUGCAUUUGAAAUGCGGCUCUUUUGAGGAUGCUUUGUGCUUGUUUAGGAGGAUAGAGAGGAGAGACGUGAUCUCGUGGAAUUCGUUAAUUGGGGGCUGUGUGUUACGUGGAGUUGUUGAUAACUCGUUUGAAUUGUUUUCCUCGAUGCUGAGAGAUGGUAUGGUAUGGAAUUUGUUACUUAAUGUUGCUGUGAUGUUUUCUGUUGUUGUGCUUGCUUGUUUUCUUACUUUCCUCGAGCUUCACUGAAACACAUUGAAUUGUAUGUAAUUUACUUUGUGAUUUCACUGCAGACUCAUGAUUUAUAGUUAAGUUUCUUCAGUUGAUCAAAAACAUACACAAUCAUCGGCUACUUGUUGUUUGGAUAACUAUUCGCCUGUAAUCUUUUGCAGCUAUUGAGAUGUCGGAAACUCACUGGUAGUCUAUGUGUUAUCUUUGUUUAGAAAUGCAUCAUGAUUUUGUAUUGACCUUCAGCUGGGAUCUCGCAUGAAUGGCAUACAAUUACUUGCAUUUAAGCUAGGCGUUUUCAAACUACAGAUUCUGUGAACUUUUCCUCCUUUCCUGAUUCACAAUCUAUACAGGUCUUCUGCCCGACCAUUUCACCUUCGGAACUAUUCUGAAGGCUUGUGGUAAAGUUAAAGCUCAUUCAUAUGUGGAGCCGAUUCAUGCUCUCAUUGUCAAGUUGGGUUAUGAAGAUGAAUCAAUUGUCACAGGAUCGCUAAUUGAUGCAUAUGCAAAGGGUAGGAACAUGCACAGUGCGAGAACUCUAUACUAUUCAUUGCAUAAAAGCGACCUUGUUUGCUCUACUGCAUUAAUCAGUGGAUACUCAAUGGAGAGAGAGCACUGCCAUAAAGCGAUGGAGCUCUUUAGUGAGAUAAACCACAGAGGUAUGAUAGUAGAUGAAGUCAUUUUGUGCUCUAUUCUCAAUGUAUGUGCCAAUGUAGCUUCUUUAAACUUGGGAAGACAAAUCCACGCUCAUACACUUAAGAACAAGUCUAGUUUUGACGUGGCAGUGGCCAAUGCUCUCAUUGACAUGUAUUCUAAGUCAGGAGAGCUUCACGAUGCUCAUCGAGCCUUCAAUGAAAUGCAGUAUAAAAAUGUCAUUUCUUGGACUUCACUGAUUGCCGCGUAUGGAAAGCAUGGGAUUGGAGAAGAUGCAAUAACACUCUUCAUUAAAAUGGAAAAUGAGGGAGUGAAGCCAAAUGAUGUCACAUUCCUUUCCAUUCUCUCUGCAUGUAGCCACUCUGGUUUGACUAAUAAAGGAAUGGAGUAUUUUAAUUCUAUGGUGAGUGAGUAUAAAAUCAAACCGAGAGCUGAACAUUAUUCUUGCGCUGUUGAUAUUCUCUGUCGAGGUGGUCAAUUAGAAGAAGCCUACAAGUUUGUAUGUGAGAUGGAUGCUAAGCCCAAUACUUCACUUUGGGGUGCAAUGCUAGGGGCUUGUAAAAUUUAUGGUAAUACGGCCCUGGGAGAAGUUGCUGCUGGAUUUCUUUUUAGUUUAGACCCUGGAAGGUCUGUAAACUACAUCGUCCUUUCAAAUAUGUAUGCAGCAGUAGGUUUAUGGGAAAAUGCACAGAGAGCAAGGAAUUUGAUGAUCCAAAAAUUUACAAAGAAAGAAGCUGGAAGUAGCAUCAUCUACCUAGACAAGGGUGCCAUAUAGAGAAAAUCAAGUGUCUCAGAUUAAUUGACGUAAAGUGAAGUGAAGAGAACUUCUACAAAUACAGGUAACUUUUCAAACAUAUACUGGUUAAUAUGUUCUUAAGGUGAAUCUCUUCUUGAAGAUGCCAUAUUUUCUUUAGCUCUCCAUUCUGAUAUAGUUUGGAAAGGCCUGUUUCUUUUCUCAUUUUACUGCUUUGUUAUUUGCUAAUUUCUCUGGCUUUUUGAAGAAAUUUGCUGGAUUAUAUUCACAACUAAUCUUAUAUUUCAUCCUUUUGAAUUCCAGAUUGCUUCAGUAUACAUAAAAGCUAAGAUGACUCAGAAAUUCAGGUUAGCAGGUAAUGUCUCUGUGUUACUUCUGUUAGUGGUAAAGAUUGAGUUGAAAUUUCAAAGCGCGGUAAGAUGUGUGGCUCCGAAUUACUGUGUACUUAGCUUUUUGUUACUCUUCUAUUAGUUUUGUUACUAUUAAACUGUUUUGAAUUGAAGAAUAUAAGUGGAGUAUAUAUCAGGCAUUAAUCCUUACAACAUACGAUGCUGAGGUUCCAGAAAAUUAUAGUUCAAUUUGAUUUUACUAGUACCUGGAUGAAUAUAUGUUCAUUGCAUUGGAUAAGAAUUAAGGACUUGAGCUCAACUAAAGCACAACUAUAUGGCCGUGAGUGCGGCCCUUUGAACCUCAGUUAAGAGAACCUGACCUAACCAGAAAUAUAUAAUACAAAUUCCCUAGAUUUGUUAUAUUGCUAAUUUCGCUCUGACCUCUAAAAACUUUCAAUAUAGUUUCUUACAGAGCUUCCUCUCCCCUUCCCAUAUUGUCUGCGAGUAGUGAAUUGUUGUAACACUUGCCCAACAUCACCAAUUCUAGUCUUGUAGUUAAAGUUUCAUCACAAUGACAUAGAUGUUGAUAAUCCAUGCCAUCGGUUUUGAUGUUAGUAUUUACUUGUCCAGGGGCUAAGUGCUUUCAGGGUAUUAGAUGUGUGUGUGGUGGUCUAUGUUGGUGUUUUCUGAUAGAAAUUCACAGUACUUUUAAUAAGACAUGUUUAACAAUCAUUUAAAUUAUUCGAAUCUGUUUUUAAUGCAUCCUCUAGUACAUCUAAUUAGAAUUGACGUGCAGUAUGCACUACAAUGUAAAUGAUCACUUAUAGCAAUGCAGCACAAUCCUGGAAGCAUUGUCUAUGCAUCUAUACUAGUAACUAUAAUUAGUUUAGCUCCAUUAUCUUAAAAAAAAAAACUUUAGCUAUGUAAUGCUUAUACUUGGACUAGGACCUAGAUAUUUUUUCUGUAACAAAUAAAAAGCAGCCAGGGAAUCCUUUCUAAGCUCUAUCACGGAUCUCCAUGAGUUGCUUUCCCCUCGAAAACCUUAAUAACAUCGCCAUCCUUGACAUUGUGCUGAUGGAAAGAGUAAUCUUCAUUCAUUACUUCUUUAUUGUGAACGAAGAAAUAUUUGUCAGGGACAUUUAAGUUUAUCAUAGCGUAUGCUCUACGCAAUUCAUCCCUUAGUAAACCCACUUUAGAGUGCUCUUCCAUCUCGACAUGUAUAACCAAACUUCCAUUCAUUGAUUCUACAGGUAGAUUAAGCUUUCGACGAGCGCGAGUUGCUGGUGAUGACGAUGCUGGAGGCGGGGUCCUUUGAGGCCCCAAUCCAGGGUUAGUUAUGACUAGUUGAACGGUAGAACCCUGGAGGAUCUCAUAAUGCUCAGUGUCGCGGUCAUUGAGAAGAUAAUGGCCAUUGAAAAUUAACUUCUGGGAAGUGACUGGGUAGCCUUUGUACUUCUCGACCUUCUCUUUUAUUUCAAGGACAGUGUCGAAGUAGCCGAUUUCUAUGGUGAAGGUCUCCCCGGCGGAUGUCACAAAGUUUACAUCCAUGAGGCUACAGGGGCCGAGUUUCUCUCUUUUUGUUUUCCUUUUUGUUCUUCUUCUUUUUCCUGAGGAUGUUUGUUAUUAACAAUGUAUAGAAGAAGCUAAAGUAUCGAAAUUUUAGCAUGCGGCUUCUGUGAAUUCAGAAACUCAGAGUUCAUGUUCACUUGGUAUAAUUCUGGAAAUGGAAAUCAAAUGCUUCUCAACAAAAUAACUCCCUCUCCUCUUCCCUGUACUGAAGAGUGGUGUUUCACAUUUUUGUGCAUGCAAAUGCUAUCAACAACACACUUUGUGAACCACUGUUUUUUUGUUAAAAAAAAAACUCUAUAUUUUCUUUUGUUUUGAUAAUGCCUCUUCUUAGAAAUCCUGCAUCCCUGACAGAUCAUCUGUGCUUGUUUUUCCCUACUGUUCAAUAAUUUUUGCUUGUAUUGUAUAUAAAUGUUUUUAACAACAGUAAUGAUUUUACUGAGAUUUUCUUUUUAUUUUAGUGAAUAACUCCAACUAACUAUUGGUACUUAAGAGAGAGUUGAUGCGCAUGUUAAGAUUCUGUUCAUUAGAAACUACUUUUGGUACAAAGUAGGAGCAUACUACUUUUGUGAAAAGAAAGGGAACUUUUUGAAAACUUUUUAAAGUAAUGUACGGAGACCCCAAUAAAUAUCGGCGGUUUUGAAAUCGGUCCCUGAACUUCCUUUUGGCUGGGACAUUAAUGAGCGAAAAUAAAGUUCCGAGAUCUACUUCAAAACGACCUGUAGUAGAGGGAACUCCUUACGCUUUCACCAAAAAGAGUAAAAAAGGUAAUAGAAAUUAAAUUGAUCUAAGAUAUGUAAGGAACAAAGAAAAUAAUAAUAAUUAUAAUAAUAUAACAAAGUGAUACACUGAACACACAGCAACAAUCACACAGGAACAAAAUGAUAUACUUUAAAAAUCGUGCAACAAUAAACUAUUUGAUGCUUAGAAGAACGAGUCCUGCGGUAAAUAUUUUUCAUAUUUAGAUCAUAUUUUAAUGGCUCUAAUUAUUAUAGUUUUUAAACAUUUAUGCAUACACGCCGUCGCUACAGUCAAACGGUGGUCCAAAUUAGAUCUUACAGUAUAAUGUGAGCUUGUCUCUAUUAACAUCUUUAAUUAAUUAUGUUCGACCGAACACCUAUUAUUUUAAAUAAUCGAAAACGAUCGUUAUUUUCCCGAUAGUUUAAAUUACUAGAGAACGAUAUUUUUAGCAUUUUGUAUCCUCACAUAAGGAUUCGAAACGUUUUGGUAGAUUUAUAACACGGACUAAAAUUAGAUGAAAGAAAUUAAACUAAUGACGGUCUUGUUACAAUCACGUGAACUUCUCCUUAUUAACAUCUCUAAUUAAUGCUAACCUUAUUCCAUCGCUACGUUGAAUAAUACAAAACGAUCGCUUUUUUGCGAUAACUUAACCUACUAAAGAGCAGUAUGUUUAAUAUUUAUAUUUUCAGACUCAUAACGUAGACUUGAAUUAGAUGAGUGAAAAUUAAAAAAAUUGAUGACGGUUCAAAUACAGCUGUUACAAAUCACGUGAGCUUGUCUCUAUUAACAUCUCUAAUUAAAUGCUAAUUAAACGAACACCUACUAAUCGCGGAGCAUCUUCAGUUGGCAUAAUCGAACCACUUUAUAACCUAUACUUACCAUAUUGAUUAAUUAAUACUGUGACAAAUAUGUUUUUGACCUAUGUGUAUGCGCUGAUAUAAGAGAUUUUAAUUGAAUGGUUCAUGCAGUUCAUGGGACGAAAGGUAAUCACCAAGAACAAAAAGCAUUGUAUGCUUUUCUAGCCCUUGGCCCGUGUUUGACACGGGCUGCUAAGUUUUUUUUUUUUUCCCCUUUUUUUUCUCAUGAUUUGAUUUGAUUUUUUUUUUUUUAUACUUUUCUUCUCUUUUGCGGGAGGAUUUACUGUCUCACCCCUGUAAUUUAGUUCAUCAUUAAUUUGAUGAAUGAAGCAGGUGACAGGUUACCCUUUUCUCUUUUUCUUUCGGAAAAAAGUAAAGUAUUGCAUGUUAACACUUGAGACUAUUCUGAUUUAUUAAUUUCGAUAAUUGUUGUUUGUUUUAUCGGAAUCAGAUUUCGAUUCUCAUUUCAUUCUUGGCUAAAAAUGGGCUGAUUUAUUUUGUUAUCCAAUGCGACUUUGAAUCAUGAAUUGAUCUAUUUCAGAGUAAAUUAUUCAAAAGAUUCUCUCACAAAUACCUCUUCCUCUUUAUUCCUUCGUCACCGUUUGAAUCGGGUAUAAGCAAGAAUUAGCUAUUACAGGGAUAGAUGCAAGUAUGGGGAUAAAAAAAAUAGCAUUGGGAUGAAAAUUAGGUUGUUCCCAAGAUAAGAAAAAUAGCGUUUAGAUAGAUAAUAUGGAAUAAAAAAAAUAAUGAGUAAUUAUAUAUAGAAAAUAAAAGUAUUGAUAAAAAUAGUUAUACCAGCUUAUUUCAAAUACUCAAUAAUUACUAUUUUUGAGUAAAAAAUUAACAUUUGUAUAUAAAAAGAGGAUAAAGGUUAUUCCACCCCUUAUUUCCAAGUUCCAACCCAAACGGGGUUGCUUUUAAUCGGGUGACAUGACGUGUGUUCUUUGUUCAGAAGAGUUGGAGACAGGUCGUCGAUCACCUUUUCACUAUCUUAGGCUUUUCCAGCUCCCUAUUGGAGAGUUUACUACGUAAUAAAAGAAUUUUUUGCGUAAUUAUAUUUCAUUCGGUAAGUUGUGGGAAGUAAACAGGCGAGAGAGUUAACAACUAUUGUCACUUUUUGGUGGGUUAUCUGAUUGGAGCAGAAUAAAAGAUAUUUUUUUUUUAUAAAAAAAGCUCAUCGUAAGAGAGAUGUUGGAGAAGAUCUACUUUUGUAAGACCUUGCUACUUCACACUGUAGCCUUGUUCAUGUUUUGAUUGAAUGAAACAGUAGCACACAAUCUAUCUCGCAAAAAAAAAAAAAAAAAAAAAAAAAAAAAAAAAACUUUUCCCCCGCCCUCGUCAAGGCCUUGGUUACCUCACUUCUGUAGCUUGGUUCAUCUUUCUAAUAAAUGAAGUGGGUAAAUGCUACCUUUUUCUCAAAAAAAAGAACUCUCUUUCGAAAUUUUAAGUGUUUUAAUUGUUUAUUUCAAUUUCAAUUUCAAUAAUGAACCAAAUAUUUUUGAAUGAUUCGUCGUUCAAUUUCUCAUUCCAAUACAAUUCAAUUUUAUUUUUCAUUAUUAUUCCGACUAUAAACUAAACACACUGUCAACGAAAGUGACUUAUUUAACCAGCUCUCUAAGUUAUUCUAAACGCUUUAAAUUUUGUAUGAUACCUGUCACAGUAAGAAGAGGGAAAAAAAACAAAAAAAAGAAAAGUUAAUGCUACGCACACGAAAAGAAAAAGUUCACGGAUUUGCUUAAGGAAACUUUUACAUUUUGGUACUAUGUAAAUGAUUGUUUAAAUAUUAUUAUUGCCCAUAUAGAACGAUAGCUACCCCAGUAAAAUGACUUGGUCUUCUUAAUUACCAAAUUUGUACUGGUCCCUCUUGCUUAUUCCUUAGCAUGUGGGCAUGCAGGGAAGUGGGGUUUUAUUAUUUAACAAAUAGCCUAUCAAUCUAGAUCCCUCAAGGCCACAACUAUAUAUUAUUUGUACCACACCUUGUGACUAGGACCCCUACCAACCAUAUAGAUAGAUAUAUAUGGGCUAUCCUAAUAAAUUUAACUGUAAAAUCCUGUGUAGGGUUCAUCUUGUUGCUUAGGGUUCGUUUGAUUCGCUAGUAACUUCCGCAAAAGUACUUCUUAUGUACAUCUACUGAUGUUAGGUUAAUUCUUACGAUUUUCAACCUCAAUUUGGAGUUUUGUUUUCUAAAUUUUAGAUUAGCAGUUUUCAGAAUAGCCGAGAAGUUUAUUCUACAAACUGAAGCCAAAGAAGCACAGCAAGAUAAAUUAAUUUGUUUCUUUCUACGAUUUAAUUUGUUUGCAGUUGGUAUCAUUUACCUAUGGAAUUUGAGGUUCAAAAUGUGUUGAUCUUUUUGCAGAGUCCAUGAGUUUUUUCUCUUUCUUUUUCUUUUUCUUUUUUUUUUUAUCCUUUGAGGACACAAGUCCCACAAGAAGAGAAGGAGAGCUAUCAAUUAAUAUUGUCUCCCUAAGUAGGUCAAAAUUAAUACUUAUUAUGUUGGCAAAUUAUUAGACCCCACUCACAAGUUGAUGAAUUCAAUUAGAAUUGUUGGAAUAGUUUCAACUUUCAACAGGCCGUGCUCAUUUUAUAUAUGAAUCAGGAUCAAAAAAUUUCAUAUAUAUACGAAAUCGAUCUUCUAACCACCGAAAACGACAAGUUUUUUCCGAGUUAGGUUUAUUUCAGUAAGUAGUUAGCAUUAAAAGAACAACAUAAAGUAGCCAUUUGUAUUUAAUUAAUCCUUCGAGGAUUACCAUAAUCCAAUAACAAUGCUUUAAAAAAAAGAUGAAUGGAAACAUGUUUCCUGUUUCCUACUAUAUAUUUAAUUUUGAGAUGGGGCUAGAGCUCUUUGGAUCGAUCGUCCUGUAGCAUAAACAUGCUUAUGUGUUAACCAUAGCUCUAAUUGUCGGUGACCGCGCGUGACGUAAACCUAUAUUACUUAGUAAUGGGAUUAUCGAAUCAUUCGAAUUAAAUUAAAUAGCUUGUAGUUUAUGUAGUUCAUUAGUUUAAUCCACCUAUCCGAUUUGAAACGUGUCUCUAAAGCUUUUUAUGUUAAUUAUAUUCUAACAACUCAUUUUAGAUUACGUGCCGUAACUGCACUAAAGAUUCCAGAAAAGAAAAGGUACCAUCAAAUCUUGCGACUCCUACUUACUAGUCCAAUUCUUGGAUUAUAAAAUAUUGGAUUAAGUAACAAAUUAGCUGUCCAAUGGUCCGCACAUAUUUUAAAGUGCUUUUUUUUAUGUAAAUCCAUGCAUUAAAGUUUGAAAAGAUGCAAAAAUUUACACUACCUAGGCAAGCUUUAGCGUAGUCCUGCUCGGUCGUAGAUGAAAGUAGAAUUUAAACUAAAACUUUGAUUUUCGGAUGGUUAAGCCACUUCGUGAUUUGUGCAAUUCUCUUGAUAAUAUAAUUUUUAUUGUUCAAAUUCUACUCCCAUUAGUAAUCAACCGGUUAAAAAUGGACAUGGCAUUGCUGAAAGGCUAAUUAAUACUGAUUAAUUUUUGUUAUAAUGCAGUUGCUAGUCUUCUAAUUUUGUCAUAAUAACACGAAUAACAUCAAAAUUUGGAUCACCAAAAAAGGGAGUUUAAGGAUUUUGGUCCACAAUGUAUUAUCAACUCCACAUGCUUAAUUAUUAUAUAAAUAUAUGCAUUAUGACAGAACAUGAUCACCCAAUAUUGCAUUUUCCACAAGAAAGUUAAUAAAAAUUGGGCACAUGUCACAUCUGGGAGCGUGCAUGUUUAAAAUCCUGGGCUCCUUAUGUGCAUCAUGCAAGGUGAAAUGUCCAAAUUAUUGGAUGGGAACAUAUAUGUAGACAAAGCCAAGGGAAAGAGCAUCGAAACCAGCUGGACUGUCCCGUACUGUAUAAUUAUUCUCUUCUCCAUGAUGCCUCAAAGAUAAGGAAAAAAAAAAAAAAAAAAGCUGCAUAGGCCCUUUGGAUAAAGGAGAGAGAACUAGAUAGAGAGAGAGAGAGAGAGAGAGAGAGAGAGGUGCAUGUACCAUGCUUGCUAACAUUUCCUAUGUCCACCGACCGUCCCUAUCGCACGUGGCAAAAAAGUUUGAUGGUUGGUAUCCGAGACUCAAGUUCGAAUCCUAAUUGAUUCACAUUUCAAACUAAGUUUAUUUCUAUAUAAAAUAAAAUAAAUGAAGCGUGUAGCAUGCUAUUUAUCUCUCUCAAAAAAGAAAAAGAAAAAACAUUCCCUAUGUCCCCGACCCCCCAAAAAAAGAAAAAAAGAUGUACAGAGACAUCUUGAAUUUUAGAUAAUUUUGCAAAUUGAGGCAUGAAUUUUCAAUUAUGAUAACUAUAUUUAAAAAAUAAUAAUAAUUAUCAAGUAACUCAGUGGAUCUCUCUCCUUAAGUGAUUUUAUUAAUUACAUGACAAUUUUGAUCAGAUGUCGUACACGUACGUAAUCCUGCAAAUUUCAAAAUAUAUAAGAAAUAAUUAUUUUAUGCUUCAAAUUUUACUAAUUAAUUAAGCAUGGCAAUUAGAGAAUAGGUUGAGUAGAAUUUUAAUUUCUAUUGCUUUUCUUACAUGUUCGUAUACAAACAUAUGCAAUACAUACGAUCAAAAAGAUUACGCAAUUAAUAAUUUUAAUUAAAGAUACAAAUUUAUUGAACUAAAAUUUAAAUAACGUAAUCGCUAAAUUUAAAAGUACAGAUGCCUACUUACAAAAAAACAAAAGUUCACGGGAUCUUCGGACAUUUUUCCCAAAAUAAUAUGUAUCAUCAUGCCUCGUUAUUAAUUAAAAAGGGAGUGGGUGAGAUGGUUGCUUUGAUUUGAUACCCUAAUGUUGGAGUAUUGUGUAUUAGACUUGGUCCGCAUGUUAGUUAUGAACUGUUCGUAUUAACAUCUGUCCUUGUCUUAAUUACAGUACUGAAGAUUAGGCAAUGACUCAAUAAUGAGGCCAGGAUAGGUGAAGGCACGAGAUCGGAAUCCUAGAAGAAAGUCUACUGUUUUAUAUUUGCACCACAUCAGCAAUAAUAAGUCAAUUAUAUUUUUUUAAAAUAUUAAUAAUAAAAAUAUUUUUUAAUUAUGAUGUGAUGGAUUAAUUCAAACGAAUUUAUUUGGUUGAUUGGGAAUGUCACGUCGCCCGUAUAACUAGUGCGUUUUAAAAUAUUUCGAAUCCUAGAUAGAGAGGUUUAGCAUAAGAGAGAGCCAAGCUCUUUAAUGUACAUAAUAAAAAGCGAAAAAAAGUACAUAACUUUUUUGAAUUUUAGCUCAUUUGUAAAUAGACGUCUGCGCGUUUGGUUUUGAUAAUUAGACUUUUUAAAAUUUAUCAAAUAGUUUAAUAGAUCCUUCUCUUCGAGUAAUAUUAUUAAUUACAUAAUUGUUUUGGCCAUAUGUAUUGCAUAUAGCUUUAUAAAGCUUUAAAAUGUAAAAAAAAAGAAAAAAAUUGUAUUUUUGUGUUCUAAUACGUAGAAAGAGUGACAAAAAUUAAAAUUCAAUUCAACAAAUUAUUCGACCGCAUAUUAAAUUAUCAAAAUUAAAAGAAAAAAAAUAUUUUUUUUUAUUUUCAAGUCUUAAAAUAUUAUAUGUACCACACCUGAUCAAAUGAUUAUGUAAUUAGCAAGUUCACCGGAGCACAGAAGUUAGUUAAAUUAUUUGGUAAAAUUUAUAAAAUAUAAUUAUAAAAUUAAACGUUCAAAGCGCUUGGUUUUUAAAAGAUCUAAAGUUCAGCAUGUCUCAAUAUAGUUUUUUCAAGUCCGGCUGGGAUGCGUCUGCUAGCAUCACGCAUUUGGUGUUAUCAAGUUUUCCGCUGUUAGAUUUAUCCUUUUGACAAUUUUCAGUUGUUAGAUCAUAUUAUUCAACCAACCACCCACUCAAUUCUAAGGGACUAUUAUCAUUCUAACUUCAUAUCCCUUCAUCGAAGGACUAAAAAUCUAAUAACACUGAUGAUUUGGUGCCAUUAAAAGCAUUUCAGUCAAAUUUCAGUUUUCCUAUAAUAACAAAAUAAAAGAGCCCCACUUAACAAUCCCUCCCACCAAAGUUUAGAUUCCAAAACCUCUUACUAAUUGUCCUAUUGAGACACUGGAGAGCUGGUCCAACAACCCUUCACCUCUUACUAGUCCAAAUUUUUCGCCACUCUAUAAGUAAAAGAAGACACUGUGUGCACAUGGCUGUCGAUUUGUACUCGUAAGAGAGAGAUAGAGUGUGUGUGUGUGUGUGUGUGUGUGUGUUUUAUGCUCAUCUCCUCCCUGGGGACAUUGAGACACAAAAAAGAAGAGAAAAAGGAGAGAGAGGAGUGUUAGUAGAUGGUACAGAUUCUUGAGUGAUCUGAGCUCUCACCAAUCAGCCAAAGAAAGCAAAAAAAAAAAAAAAAAAAAAAAAAAAAAAAAAAAAAAAGGGGUAAAAAAAAAUGAGGAGGAGGUUGAGCUAUUUGAUUUGUGUGAUGUGUGUAGUGUUGGGAUUUGUGGCCUGUGCAGAAGCAGAAGCUGAACUGAAGCUGGGGU
rnacentral:lncRNA from 1 species